CCCUGGGAUGGUGCUCUGUGGCAUCUGAGAUGAGAAGAUCCUCGCCGCUUUUGGCCACCUGUCGGAGUAUCCAACAUGCUCUAAGGCUGUGUGUUGGUAUGGCAUCCGCUGUACUAUGAAUUUUGCAGGGUCCGUUGAGCCAUCCCUCCAAUACGGUUCCACGCCCUGUAGAGGGUUUUUGCUUCUUUGUAAUUAACUCGGGUGUCUUAUGAUAGUGCACCCUUUUACUUCGGACUGGGUGUAUAUUCGAAGCCGGAUUAUCCCAAAAUUUCAUUUCGGUUUUCCAGCCACUUCCCAUCGCACAGUACUUUCGUACUAUGGACGCCAAGUCGGCGAAGCGUGAUAUGUCACGGCGACUUAUGGCGUUAAGGAUUCCCUUGUCCGUCCAGUUAUUGCAGAAAAAUGAGACUGCGUCUUCCUCGCGGCAGUCCUUAACCUUGUUCAUCACAAGGAGGAAUCUGGCCCAGUAAUGAUGUACUGUUUCAUGGGGCUCUUGCCUGAUGUGGGAAAGAUUGUUUAUGUCUAGGUGGGUGGGUGGAUUUGAGUCCAAACCCCUACCCGAUCUGAGACCUAGGGGCCGAGGAGUUUCCAAUCUUGGAAGCUCGGAUUCCGGGAUGUUGCCCGAUAAGUCUGGCCCGCUGCCUGACUCUAGGUUUAGGGCUUGAGUGAUGUCCUCCCGUAAAUGGGUAUCUGGCUCGAAGAGCUCAGGAAUCCGGACAUAGUUAGUCCUCAAGAUAGAGGAAAAAUCGCUGCAUUGUUCCUCCACCACCGCAACAUGAUGGGUGACCGGUGGAGAGUUAAUCUCCCUUUGAUCGGGUUUAAGCCCAAUCCAAUCAUAGUCCGUAGCGACUCCCAAGGCGGCGAUGCGAUCCAAGAGCUCGUUUAGGGAAGAGAGCUCCAUUGGAUCCAUCUGCUUGGCGAAUUCCGAGCCGAUGUGGAGGCUGUUUUCGAUGACCCGAGAAGUCAUCGUCGAUGCUGCACACGAACGGGCGGUCAUGAUGAACCUUCCUAGCUGGAGAGUUUGGCCGACAGCCAGGGCUCCCCCGGCAGUAAUGUUGUUUUUAACAACGAGAUGAGGCAUCCUUCCUUACGGCGACGACACAGAGGAACUCUCAAUGAAAGCACAAAUGUCGGUGUCAAAACCGGCGGAUCUGGGUAGGGGUUCCCGAAAUGUGCGUCUAAGGCGGAUGGUAACAGGAGGCAGGGGACAUGAUGUUUUACCCAGGUUUGAGCCCUCUUUAUGGAGGUAAACCCUAUGUCCUGCUUGAUUAUUCUUGAUAAUAUGAGUAGUACAAGAGUUGAUCUACCACGAGAUCGGAGAGGCUAAACCCUAGAAGCUAGCCUAUGGUAUGAUUGUAUGUUGUCCUACGGACUAGAACCCUCCGGUUUAUAUAGACACCGGAGGGGGCUAGGGUUACACAAGGUCGGUUACAAAGGAGGAGAUAUACAUAUCCGUAUUGCCUAGCUUGCCUUCCACGCCAAGUAGAGUCCCAUCUGGACACGGGACGAAGUCUUCAAUCUUGUAUCUUCAUAGUUCAAUAGUUCGGCCAAAGGAUAUAAUCCGGCUGUCCAGAUACCCCCUAAUCCAGGACUCCCUCACUCCUGAUGAGAGGAUCGAUGGUGAUGACGAUGGUGAUGAUUUCCCCCUCCCGGAGGGAUGUUUCCCCGGCAGAACAGCUCCGCUGGAGCCCUAGAUUGGUUUUGCCAAGGUUCCGCCUCGAGACGGUGGCGCUUCGUCCCCGAAAGCUUCCUCCUGAUUUUUUUCAGGGCGAAAGACUUCAUAUAGCAAAAGAUGGGCACCGAAGGCCUGCCAGGGGGCCCACGAGGCAGGCGGCGCGCCCAGGGGGAAGGGCGCGCCCCCCACCCUCGUGGACGGUGGGUGGCCCCCCUCUGGUGCUUUCUUCGCCCAAUAGUUUUUAUAUAUUUCAAAACCGACUUUCGUGGAGUUUUAGGACUUUUGGAGAUGUGCAGAAUAGGUCUCUAAUAUUUUCUCCUUUUCCCGCCCAGUACUCCAGCUGCCGGCAUUCUCCCUCUUCGUGUAAACAUUGUAAAAUAAGAGAGAAUAGGCAUAAGUAUUGUGACAUAAUGUGUAAUAACAGCCCAUAAUGCAAUAAAUAUCUAUAUAAAAGCAUGAUGCAAAAUGGAUGUAUCACCUAUACCAUGCCAAUGCUUUUCCCUUCAAAGGUAAAGGGAAAACCUUUUUCAUAAAUUCAUCCCUGGGUAAACCUGCAAGCUUGAACAAUCCACAAAUUUGUUCUACACAUAUCAAGUGCAUAUCAGAAUGCUUGGUUCCAUCUCCUGCAUAAGGAUUAGCUAGCAGUUGUUAUAUCAUACCCGAAGGAAUUUCAUAUUCAAUAUUUUCAGUAGGUGUAGUAGGUUGAGGGGUAGCUAAUUGUGGUUCUGGAUGAGGUGAAGAUACCUUGAACAAACCUCUCAAAGGAUUGUUUUCCAUAGUGACAAGUGACAAUAAAUUUCAGCACACUAUAUAAAUGUUUCCUUACCAAAUUCCACUUACCAAAAGCGCUUCACUCCCCGGCAACGAUGCCAGAAAAUAGCCUUGAUGACCCACAAGUAUAGGGGAUCAAUUGUAGCUCUUUUUGAUAAGUAAGAGUGUCGAACCCAACGAGGAGCGGAAGGAAAUGACAAGUGGUUUUCGGCAAGGUAAUGUCUGCAAGUGCUGAAAUUGUAAGUAGUAGAGUAGUUUGAUAGCAAGAUAAUUUGUAACAAGCAAGUAACGAUAGUAGUAGCAAAAGUGCAGAAAGGUAGACCAAUCCUUUUGAGGCAAAGGACAGGCCAAAACGGUCCCUUAUGAUAAGCAAAGUGUUCUUGAGGGUACACGGGAAUUUCAUCUAGUCACUUUCAUCAUAUUGGUUCGAUUUGUGUUCGCUACUUUGAUAAUUUGAUAUAUGGUUGGACCGGUGCUUAGGGAUUGUUCUUACUUGAACAAACCUCCUAUUUAUGAGUAACCCUCCCGCAAGCAUCCGCAACUACAAGAAAAGUAUUAAGAAUAAAUUCUAACCAUAGCAAACUUUUGGAUCCAAUCGGUCCCUUACAGAAUAGCGCAUAAACUGGGGUUUAAGCUUCUGUCACUCUCGCAGCCCAUCAUCUAAUUGCUACUCCAAAAUGCAUUCCCUUAGGCCCAAAUAUGGUGAAGUGUCAUGUAGUCGACGUUCACAUGACACCUCUAAGGGAAUCACAACAUACAUACUAUCAAAAUAUCGAACACAUAUCAAGUUCACAUGAUUAUUUGGAACAUUAUUUCUCCCGUGACCUCAAGAACAAAAGUAACUACUCACAAAGUUAUAAACAUGCUCAUGAUCAGAGGAGUAUUAAAUAGCAUAUUGGAUCUGAACAUAUAAUCUUCCACCAAAUAAACCAUAUAGUAAUCAACUACAAGAUGUAAUCAACGCUACUAGUCACCCACAAGCACCAAUCUACAGUUCUGGUAACAAGAUUGAACACAAGAGAUGAACUAGGGUUUGAGAUGAGAUGGUGAUGUUGAAGAUGUUGAUAGAGAUUUCCCUCCCCGGGAUGGGAGAGUUGUUGGUGAUGAUGAUGAUGAUUUCCCCCUCCGGGAGGGAAGUUCCCCCAGCGGAAUCGCUCCGCCGGAGGGCAAAAGUGCUCCUGGCCAAGUUCCACCUCGAGGCGGCGGUGCUCCAUCCCAAAAGUCCUCUCUCUAUUGAAAUAUUGUGGAUGUCGCCUAGAGGGGGGUGAAUAGGCGCUUUAAAAUAAUUAUGGUUUAGGCUUGAACAAAUGCGGAAUAAACCUAGCGGUUAAUUUGUCAAGCACAAAACCUACAACAACUAGGCUCACCUAUGUGCACCAACAACUUAUGCUUAGCAAGAUAAACUACUAGGUGAUAGCAAGAUAUAAGACAAGAAACAAUAUGGCUAUCACAAAGUAAAGUGCAUAAGUAAAGAGCUCGGGUAAGAGAUAACCAAGGCACACGGAGACGACGAUGUAUCCCGAAGUUCACACCCUUGCGGAUGCUAAUCUCCGUUUGGAGCGUUGUGGAGGCACAAUGCUCCCCAAGAAGCCACUAGGGCCACCGUAAUCUCCUCACGCCCUCGCACAAUGCAAGAUGUCGUGAUUCCACUAAGGGACCCUUGAGGGCGGUCAACGAACCCGUACAAAUGGCAACCCUUGGGGGCAGUCACCGAACCCGUACACUUUAGCAACCCUUGGGGCGGUCAUCAGAACUCGCCAAAUUGCUUAGGGUGAUCUCCACAACCUAAUUGGAGACCCCGACACUUGCCCGGAGCUUUACACCACAAUGAUUGAGCUCCGAACACCACAAAGGUUGGGGUUAACUCCCCAACGACACCACGAAGAUUCACCACAAUGGAAUAUGGCUCCGAGGUGACCUCAACCGUCUAGGGCGCCCAAGCACCCAUGAGGAACAAGCUCAAGGGUACCAAGCACCCAAGAGCAAUAAGCUUCUAAACUUGUAACUUCCAAGUAUCACCGUGGAGAACUCAAACCGAUGCACCAAAUGCAAUGGCAAGGGCACACUGAGUGCCCAAGUCCUUCUCUCCCAAAUCCCACCGAAGCAACAAAUGCUAGGGAGGAAAAUGAGAGGAAGAACGAAGAAGAGAACAUGAAGAACUCCAAGAUCUAGAUCCAAGGGGUUCCCCUCACAUAGAGGAGAAAGUGAUUGGUGGAAAUGUGGAUCUAGAUCUCCUCUCCCUUUUCCCUCAAAAACUAGCAAGAAUCCAUGGAGGGAUUGAGAGUUAGCAAGCUCGAAGAAGGUCAACAAUGGGGGAAGAAUACGAUCUCAAAGGAUAAGGUUCAUUGGGGAAGAAGACCCCCUUUUAUAGGAGGAGAAAAAUCCAACUGUUAUGUGCUCAGCCCGCACACGAGCGGUAUUACCGCUCCACGAGCGGUACUACCGCUCGGGCGGAAGAAGCACGGAAAUGGAGCAACAAAACAUGAACCUUAGGGAGGUAGUACCGCAUAUAAGCGGUACUACCACUCACCCCAGCGGUACUACCGCUGGAGGAGCAGAACAUGAGACCAAAAGAGGCAGGGCAGAGCAGAGUACGGCGGCAGUAAUGCAGUAGCGGUACUACCGCCCAACCGGAGCGGUACUACCGCUUAUAGGCGGUACUACCGUGCCUUACUGCCGUGCAACUACUGCUAAACCCGACACAAAAAGUGGAGGACCCAAAAUCGAGGCAGUAGAAGAGCGGUACAGCAGCGGUACUGCGGCUGAGAGCUCCAAGCGGUACUACCGCUUGGGCUCGCGGUACUACCGCUGGGACCAGACAAAAGCCACUUCCAAGAAAACAAGAACUGCCAUAACUUCUGCAUAUGAGCUCCGAAUCGAGCAAACUCAAGCUUGUUGGAAACAAGAUGACGAGUAGCAUCAAAACAGUGACUUGUUAUAGUAAGAAGAGGCAGGGGAAGUAUGCCUAACAAAUGGAGGAGUGAAACCUCCAACAGAGAAGAACGGGCAUAACCUCCAACAUCGAAAACAUCAUAGAAGAUGCAAGCAAACUCCGUUUUCGAUGAACUCGAGCUUGUCACCAAGAUGACAAUAAGCUCCAAAACUCACAAAGAGAACCAAACAAGAACCAAGAAAGAUGAUGCAAGGAUGCAAAGGUUUGAGCUCUCUACGAACGAUACACGAUCAAGCUACUCAUCGAGAGCCCCCCUUGAUAGUACGGCAAUCGACCCUAUAACCCGGUCUCCCAACCACCACUAUGAGACCGGUAAAAUAGAAAACCUAUCAAGGGCAAACCUUUGUCUUGCACAUAGUCCACUUGAGCUAGAUGAUGAUGAUCUUGACUUCCUCAAGUUGGACCACCUUUCUUGAUUGUGUUGGCUCGAUGAAGACUAGUUGAUUGCUCCCCCAUACUCCACUAUGGGUGAGCCACUCUUCGGCACAUCUUCAUAAAUCCAUUGUUACCAUAAUGGACGGCAAGCUUCUAGCAUUUGAUCUCUUCGUGAUGCUCCACUUGAACUUGCACAUCGCAACCUAACUCCACAAAGAACUCUCACGAAAACAAUGGGUUAGCAAACAAAGCAUAAUGGACAAUUCUUACCAUACCAUGGGAUCACUUGAUCCCUCAGUACAUCUUGUAUGUUUUGUGUGUUGAUCAACUUGAUUCAUUCUUGACUUAAUCUUGAUCAACCUUGAAUCUUUCCAAUUCUCUUCAUUUGGAUUAUGUCUUGAAGGUAGACAUGAAUGAUCACACAAUCUUCUUCUUCAAGACAUGCUUGCAAUAAGCUCAACACUCACAUGACCAAUCUUUGGAUAAUUCCUUGAAUAGCACCUUGGUCGACACAAACUCUCCUUGAAACCAACACAUGUACUCCAAGAAAAGCCUAUGGACAAAACCUUCAAAUAUAACUCAAGGAAACCAUUAGUCCAUAGAGAUUGUCAUCAAUUACCAAAACCAAACAUGGGGCACCGCAUGUUCUUUCAAUCUCCCCCAUUUUGGUAAUUGAUGACAAUCACUUUCAAGAGAGUUUAUACAAGUAAUUAUGCAUCACUAUGCAAUGCAACAACCAAUAAUGCAUGCGUAUGAGAUGCAAAUGCUUAGGAACAAAACCAAAGCAAGGAGAAAACUCUAAAGACUUCUCCAGAAAACUCUCUGAAACUUCUCCCCCAUUGGCAUAGAUUGCCAAAAUGGGCGAAAAGCUUAGAAGGCCAAUAUAGAUUGAGUUCCUCCAUAAAUUGUGCAUUUCUCAAAAGAGAGUGGAAUGCCAUACACAUAUCCAAAGGUAAAACUUGGAGGAAGACCAACUAUAUUGAGGCACCAAGAUUGCAAAAGAAUGAUAUGCCACAAAGACAUAACAAAGAGAGAAACAAGCAAUUAAGCAAUCAAAAGAUACUAAUUGAAGCAAGCUAUCAAAAGAUACCAAUUGAACCAACUAGACCAAUGAAUCUACGUGCCACAUGAAUAAAGAUAUUAUGAUAUGAGCAAAGAAGUGUUCUAAGGAAACUGGAGAAGCUCCCCAUGAUUUGUGCACACAUCAGAAUAUUUGUAUUUGGAUACAAAGUGCACAAAAUAGGAUCAUAGCUCCCCCAAAAUCAAUAAAAACUUACAACAAGUGCAAGUGAGCAUAUAGGAAACUAAGCCUAGUACUUGCAACAAACACAUGGUUGAGCAACACGUAAAAGAGGCAACUUAAGAAUGGGCUCAACCAAAAUGAUGUGUGUGAGUCAAGGCACUGCACUUGAUAAGACUAAAGUACAGAUGAGCAUUAAGCAUCAAUAAAGUCUCUAAAGAAUGAGGCACACGGUGCAAGGCCUAUCAUUCCCACACACAACUAGCAAAUGGGUUCACAAGCUUAAUAAUAAGCAUAUAAAGAACCUAUGCUUGUGACAACCCAUGGUGAAGAUAGAAGAUGAAAGCCCCAUCAAGAUGAGGGACACCAAUUAAGAUGGCAAAAGCCUCGUAAAGAUAAGCAUGAGGAAAAUAAUCUUCACCACACAAGAGUGCAUCAAGAUGCAACGAGAGAAGACACACACUCAAGGCAAAAGCUUUCACGGAGCAACCAAAGAAAUAACAUAAGAAAGACAAGGUGGACGUGAAAGAAAGGAUAUCAGCUAGAUAUGCAACUUCUCUCAAGUGUAUACGAUUCUAGGUAGAUGAAAUCAUGAUGAUAUAUAUCUACAAAGAAGGGUGUACACCUGAAAUAGUUAAAACACGAGGAACAAAAUAUCCAAAGGGAGGUCAUACAUAUACCAAUAAGAUAUUUGCUUGGAAGCAUAGCAGAUGGAUAGAUAUGGUCUUAUUGUAUAUAAAUGAAUUCCUACCAAACAACCAUCAAAGACAUCACAACUAGCAACAUGAGAUCAUCGUUGAGAUGCUUUGAGAAAGGAAACAAGUAUCACAAGAUGGAAUGAAUAUCAUGCUAAGAUGCAACCUACAUAAGGUUGAAUGCAAGAAAAGAAUGCGUGAAGGGAUACUUGUUACCCAGAUAUCAUUGGAAGGAUGUAGAAGAAACUAAUUGAAGGUAAUAGAUAGUAGUUCAUUAAGCAUCCUAGCUUUACUCCAAUAAGCACAUGGUGACACCACCUUCCUUGUGAGUGAGCCGAGCAUCCAAUGCAUCUCCAAUUGUUCCUAGAACAACAACACAAACAAAAUGGUACCCAAACUCAUUAGGACCAAAGACUUAGAAACACCAACAAUACAUAGGACAAACUCCACCUAAAUAUGUGCAUAUAGAAAUGAAGAAGAAUAUCAUGCACAUCUCAUCCAAUUUGAGACUUGGUGGAGUUUCCCCUGUAUAUUGGGUUAAAAGAAAGCAUGCCAAAGAUACUACAUGAAAUUAAUAUGCAUGCUCAAGACUUUGAAGAACCAAUACCAAAUGACAAAGAAAUGCCAAGAGAAUAAAAGAUACCAAAUGAAUAAAUCAUUACUUGGAGGAUAUCAAAUGAAAGAUACAUAAAGGAAUGAGAUAUCCAUUGGCACCCUCAAAAUAAAAGAUAUCAAACUCCCAAAAGAUAGGAUGGUUCCAAAACAAACCAAGCUCUCUACAAAGUUUCAUGAUGGCACAAAGUACCAAAACGAAAAUGGCUUGCCUUCCAGCAACACACACUUGAUAAGGAUCGCAAGAUGAGUGUUUUAUAAAAAAUAGGAUAGCUCCCCCAAGACUAGUGCAUUAUAGAGAAUUUGCAUUUGAAUACAAAAUGCACAAGGUGGGAUCACCACUUUCACUAUAUCUAGAAAACACUAGACAAGAUCAAGAAAGAUCCACAAGUGGUAUGGAAGACAAACGGAGUUGAUACAUUCCUUGGCAAGAGAAAAGGCAAAUAAAAGCAAAAGCUAAUGUAAAGAUGAUCAAUAAAUUCUACCACACAAGUGAGUACCAAUUGUCAAAAGACAAGAAGUAAAUGGAAAUAAUUCCUGGUGGUAGAUAGCAAGGAUAUCCGACAUCAUCUUCACACCAAACAAAAAGCAAAUUGCAACUUGUAGAGCUAACAUACCACCUAGGAACAAGAUAAUUUACAAUAUCAACUCUAGGUAACAAUAUCUCAAAUGUACACAUUUUCUAGGCUAGUAAUAUACACAUAGCAUAUUACUCCCCCAUAAUGUGAUACCAAUUAAGGAUAAACAAGAGGCAAAUUAAAGGAUCCAACAAGAGAUAACUAAUGGACUAUUUAGAAUUUGAAUUUCACAUGAGAAGACAUACCACAUAGCGACUAGAUAAUCUUGAAAUAUCAAUACUAGAUGGUAUUACUUAUGUACACACAUUUAUAGGAUUGUGAGGUGCACAAAGCACAUCACUCCCCCAUAUUGGGAUAUUCCAUUAAUCUCUCACAAGAGCCAACUAAGAAAUAAACAAGAUGCAAAAGGCUCAACGCAUGACACACACGUACAUGAUGUGCAAACCAACACACACAUACUUGAUUGCUCAAGAUAAUCAAGUUGGAAGCACAAGAUAUACAAACACAUGCAAGGAACGAAACCAAACAUGCAAAGGGUGUAACGCCCCCGAUUUGACCAUACACUAAUCAUACACGCAAACGUGUACGAUCAAGAUCAGGGACUCACGGAAAUAUAUCACAACACAACUCUACAAAUAAAAUAAGUCAUACAAGCAUCAUAUUACAAGCCAGGGGCCUCGAGGGCUCGAAUACAAGAGCUCGAUCAUAGAUGAGUCAGCGGAAGCAACAAAAUCUGAGUACAUACAUAAGUUAAACAAGUCUGCCUUAAGAAGGCUAGCACAAACUGGGAUAUAGAUCGAAAGAGGCGCAGGCCUCCUGCCUGGGAUCCUCCUAAACUACUCCUGGUCGUCAUCAGUGGGCUGCACGUAGUAGUAGGCACCUCCCGAGUAGUAGUAGUCGUCGUUGACGGUGGUGUCUGGCUCCUGGACUCUAAUGUCUGGUCGUAGCAAACGGAUAUAGGAAAGGGAAAAGGGGGAGAAAAGCAACCGUGAGUACUCAUCCAAAGUACUCGCAAGCAAGGAGCUACACUACAUAUGUAUGCAUUGGUAUCAAAUGGAAUAAGGGUAUCAUAUGUGGACUGAACUGCAGAAUGCCAGAAUAAGAGGGGGAUAGCCAGUCCUAUUGAAGACUACGCUUCUGGUAACCUCCAUCUUGCAGCAGGAGAAGAGAGUAGAUGGUAAGUUCACCAAGUAGCAUCGUAUAGCAUAAUCCUACCCGGCGGUCCUCUCCUCGUCGCCCUGUUAGAGAGCGACCACGGGGUUGUAUCUGGCACUUGGAAGGGUGUGUUUUAUUAAGUAUCCGGUUCUAGUUGUCAUAAGGUCAGGGUACAACUCCAAGUCGUCCUGUUACCGAAGAUCACGGCUAUUCGAAUAGAUUAACUUCCCUGCAGGGGUGCACCACAUAACCCAACACGCUCGAUCCCAUUUGGCCGUACACACUUUCCUGGGUCAUGCCCGGCCUCGGAAGAUCAACACGUCACAGCCCUACCUAGGCACAACAGAGAGGUCAGCACGCCAGUCAAAAUCCUAUGGCGCAGGGGUCUGGGCCCAUCGCCCAUUGCACACCUACACGUUGCGAGGGCGUCUGGAACUAGAACUAGCCCCCUUAAUACAAGAGCAGGCUUACGUUCCAAUCCGGCGCGCGCCGCUCAGUCGCUGGCGCCACGAAGGCUUCGGCUGAUACCACGACGUCGAGUGCCCAUAACUGUCCCGCGUAGAUGGUUAGUGCGUAUAGGCCAGUGGCCAGACUCAGAUCAAAUACCAAGAUCUCGUUAAACGUGUUAAGUAUCCGCGAACGCCGACCAGGGCCAGGCCCACCUUUCUCCUAGGUGGUCUCAACCUGCCCUGUCGCUCCGCCACAAAGUAACAGUUGGGGGGCGUCGGGAACCCAGGCCCACCUCUACCGGGAUGGAGCCACCUGCCCCUUCAGCCCCCAACUCCGAACAGUAUCAUAGGUAAUGUAAUAGUGUAAAGUAUAUAACAUAUUCUCGUGAUCACCUCCCGAGUGAUCACGACCCAGUAGUAUAGCAUGGCAGACGGACAAGAGUGUAGGGCCAGUGAUGGAACACUAGCAUCCUAUACUAAGUAGUAGGAUAGCAGGUAAAGGUAACAACAGUAGUAGCAAGGACAUGCUAUGCAGCAGAAUAGGAUUAACGGAAAGCAGUAACAUGCUACAAUACUCUAAUGCAAGUAGUAGAGAGAAGAAUAGGCGAUAUCUGGUGAUCAAGGGGGGCUUGCCUGGUUGCUCUGGCAAGAGAGAGGGGUCGUCAACAUCGUAGUCGUACUGGGUAGCAGCGGCGUCGGUCUCGAUGUCUAGCGAGAGAAGAGGGGGAAGAAACAAUAAAUAUAAUGCAAACAAAUGCAUGACGAUGCGUGACAUGACAAAGCCUGAUGCUAGGUGUGCCCUAACGCGGUAUGAGGUGGUACCGGUGAAGGGAGGAAACAUCCGGGAAAAUAUCCCCGAUGUUUCGCGUUUUCGGGCAGAGGAGCCGGAGGGGGAAAGUUGCGAGUUUGAUAGGUUAGGGAUGUGUGGCGGACAAACGGGCUGUGUACCCGGGUUCGUCACGUCGUUCUGAGCAACUUUCAUGUACAAAGUUUUUUCAUCCGAGCUACGGAUUAUUUUAUAUUAAUUUUAAAAGAUUUAAAUCAUUUUUAGGAUUUAUUUAAUAAUUUAAAACAACAUUAUCCAAAACAGUGUUUGCUGACGUCAUCAUGACGUCAGCAGUGUUGACUGGGUCAAACUGAAGUGUGGGUCCCUCAUGUCAUAGACUAUUUAGUUAGCAGUUUAAUUAAACCGAGUUAAUUAGGUUAAUAGUCUAAUUAGUUUAAUUAAAUAGGAUUAAUUAAGUUAAUUUAGUUAAUUAAUUAAUUUAAUUAAUUAUUUUUAUCUUAAUUAUUUUCUCUCUUUUUUAAAAAAAUGUUCUGUGGGGUGGGGCCCUCAUGUCAUUGGCCCAAGGCCUUAACGGGCGCGCGGUUACGGGGUGGAGCCAGGCGCGGGCGCUGGGCGCCCGACUGGGGGAGCCCGUGCGCGACCUCGAGCGAGGCCAUCGGCGCGGCCGCCGGCGUCCAUGACGCCGGCCAGGGGAGGAGGCGGAGGCCUACGCGCGGCGCGGUGAGGCCGCAGCGGCAGGCGGAGCGGAGGCGGGGCGCGACAGAGCUAGCAGCAACGGCGGAGGUGGCUGUAGGUGGGAGGCAGCGGCGACAGGCAGGGAGGCGCGGCUGGUCGGGGUGGCUAGGUCGCAGCCGGCAGCGGUGCGCGAGCACGGCGCGUGGCGUGAGUAGCAGGGAAGAGGAGGCACCAGUAGUGUUGGCAGCAGAAGCAGCACAGCACGCAGAGCAAGCAGCAGCAGAAGCCGGCAGCAACAGGAGCGCGCGGGUGCGCGCGGACAUGCAUGGCAGGGCCGCCGCGUGGGCUGGGCGCAGCCACGGGCAGAAACGAGAGGGGAGGGGGCACAGCCAUGCGCGCGCGUGGAAGCGCAACAUGCAUAGGCAGGCAUAGCCGACGGCGCGGGCAAGGGUCGCGAUGAGUGUGAGGUGACCGUGGGCGUGGGCUCGGACGCGGGGCAUGGCGGGCAUAGGGGAGAGAGGUGGUGGAGGCCGGGGGCCUCACCCGCGUUGGAGAGGUGAUGGGCGUCGUGGCUCGGAGAAGCCGGUCGGGGGAGAGGUCGAGGAGGUCCACGGCGGGGCAGUCAGGCGGGGAGGUCCGACGUCGAGCGGCGGGGUCGGGGCAUCGCGCGCACAGGGGCGCCGCCCCCAAUCCAGAACGUGGGGGGAGGUGCGAGGGGAGUGGGUUAGGGUUACGAUGGAGUGGGGGAGGCCUAAGUAGGCCAGUGGCAUGGGCCGGCCUGGCUGGGCCAAGGCCCAGUUGGGCCGAGGGGGUUUUCUUUUCUUUUUUUGUUUGUUUUGUUUUUUUAAUUUUGUUUUUAUUUAUUCUUUUCUUUAUUAUUUUAGUUUCACAUUGCUAUAGUUUAGAUAAAAUACCAAGUUAGUACCUAAAUUAGUAUAAUUAAUAUAGGCCACUACCCAACCUGGUUUUGACUCAAAAUAAGUUAGCUUAAUAUUUUUAUAAUUUAAAGAGCAAUUAAAAUGUUAUUUAGCCAUUGUGUUUAUUAUUUUAGUGUCUUUAAUUAUUAUUUUUUUAAAUGUGGUUUCUGCACCAAUAUUAUUUAUGCUUUAUUUGCUACAACUUGAACAUUUUAGUUUUAAAGUUUGAAAACUUUUGAUGUUUGCUUUUAAUUCAAUUUUGAAUUUGAAUCGGUUUUGAACUAACGCGAGAUUAUCAAAAGUAAUCGAGAUGACGUGGCACCAUUAGCAGAGGUUUACUGUAGCUUGAUUAUCCGGGCGUCACAAUUCUCCUCCACUACAAGAAAUCUCGUCCCGGGAUUUAAGAGGGAAGUAAAGGGGGAAGGUUUGGGUUACGAAAUUCUAGGGAGUGUUCUUGGUCUUGGUUGUUCUUCUCGAAGAGGUUGAUCCAUUACAUUGAUGUCUUCAUUUCGCUGUUUCAGGUCAUCAUGAAGUUGUCAUCUUUACUUCAGGAUCUUCACCGUACUCACGGAAGGGUAAGAAGGGAAAACUCUAUAUGGAUGGAUUCUAACAAGAUCGAGCAUCAGACAGUUAACUCAGGGAAGAAGCAUAAGUAUCUCACGAUUUGAAACUUAAGAAGAUAUCAAGAGCAAAGUAAGAAGGUAUCAUGAGAAGUUUCAAACGGAUAGGCAUUCGUUCGAUGCCUAAUCAGAAGGUGAAAGGGUUUCAGGGCAACGGGAAUAGGUAUUGCGCCUCAUACCAGAAUAGAUCACUAGAAUGGUGGUCCGUGAAUUACAUACGAAGUCAAGUGCGAGGAACAACCUUGGGAACAGGUGGUGUACAGGAGAGUCAGGUUUCGAUCCUAUGGAACUGUGGGUUAUGGGCCCACCAUGUGGGAUAAAAGUAGGAGGAGCGGUGACAUCUUGCAUGGUCAGGAUAGCAAGGCAUGUCAGAGGGUAGCCUGUCGAUUAUGUAGGCAACAACGUCGGUACCAAGGGCGAGGGACGAAGAGAACCAUUUUCUAGCUCGUUGAACGAGGUGGGCCAAUAGGCAAAGUUCUCGUCCAUCGGUGGUUACCGGAAUGUCAUCAACAAUAGUAAUAGGCUCUUACUGACAGAGUUGUACACCGAGAUGUUUGCACAAGCAGGGAAUUAUUACUACUUAUAUCAUAUAGAUCACAGAAACGGUUUAACCAAACCAAUGGAAAGGGAAAGAUAACUAUCAGAUUAAACAGAUCAAUGGAAAGUAAAAUGUGUUUAAACACAUAUUUCAAGGGUAUAUCCUUCCGAAGGUCAAGCAGAGCAUGAUAUCCAUGUUAGGAUGUAAUGUAGAAAACUCUUUAGGUAGGGGAGAGAAAUUUCAUGACAUUACCCAUACAACGGUGUUUGGAUAAAUGAUAAGGAAAACUUAGCAUUGUGCUUUAAAUGUUCUUAUUGAGAAUUGGAGUAGCACAGACAUGCUUCGAGAUGGCAUUGAAAAGGUCUUCAAGCAAAGGUCAGGCCUUGGAUACACGAAGGAUUUACCAGGAACAACUUGUAGAAUAAGUCUUACAAUUUCCUAAUGGAAGAACGGCUAACCUUGCGAAAAAGGAAACUAUAACAAUAGGGCCUCCGGCCAGGUGUGCUAGGCAUGACAUCACCUUACCAGGUCAUAUAAAGACCAAUGUUGUGACUCUUGGAAAGUGUUCCAACCAUCAUAUCUGACCGAGAUUCAGAUCUGAUCGGUGUUAGGAUACCUCAGACUCAGGAUGCCUGAUAAGAAGAGGUGCAACACAAUUAACGAGAUGACAUUAUAUGAUUCUCGGGAAAUGAACUACGGAAGCGACUUCCGAAACCAGAGUUCAUCAGUAAACCAAGGAGAGGAUGAGGAGGUGGCUGAUGAACUCAACGACAAUUCAACAAGAUUUCCAAAAUAUGGAUUUCCACAAUUAUGUGAACAGGGAGAUAACAUUUGUCAGAUCAAAUGAUAUAAUGAGGUAUGCUCGAGGAAAACAUACCCAAUUAAACAUUGGUUGAAAGGUGCACCCGAAAUAUGGGCUUAGGUAGCAUGACCGAUGUAAGAAUGGUGAUUCUAUAACCAAUGGUCUAUGAAUGAAAUGUCGACCAUUAACUUCAAAGCAAUAUGGUUGCUAGAAGUGCAGAAUCCAAGCAGCACCAUUCAUCUGUUGGUAUCCCGGCUAGAAUCAACACAGGUACCAAGAAAGAAUGGUGAUGGCGAGAAGUAUCACUAUACCAAUAAUUCUAAAGAGGUGGAGCAAUUCUCACGACCUUCUUGACAUAUAAGAUAGUAAUACUCCAAGGUAAAGAAGAAUAAUUGCUGGAUAUCAAGGAUCUCAAAGUAUAACACAAAACACGAAUAAGUUUGUGUUGGAGGGAAGUCAAUAAAGUGGUCGAUGAUAACACAGAUCAUCGAGGGCAAGGAUGGUAUUCCUCAUAAUGAACUCAAUUGACAUCCUGGAAGAGCUCAGAAUGCCGAUGAUGAUCACGACACAAUUGUUGAGAGAUUUCAUGAAGAUGCAAUCGGUCGGCGAUGACAUCAAGCCACAGGAAUGAUGAAGCGAAAGGUUAUUGAACCCAAGGGUAUGACACAAACUCAAAACCAAGCUUGUUGUUUAAGGCAAAGUGGUAUGAUGAGGAGGAUCGACGUAAGCUUAGCUCAUCGUCGAAAGUUGGGCUCCGGGAAUAAGGACCAGGUAGCACAGUUAAAAUCAUCACGGUAAUGAUAUAGCCAAAUAGGGUAGGAAGGAUAUGAUCGGGUACAAACUCGUAAGUAAAGAAGAUUACCAAAGGUUGUUGAACCGUAGUGCGGACUCGGUUUAGUUAUCGGUUUUUGAGUGUUUAAUAACUCAGAGCCCGUGAAAAUUUUGGAAUCAGUGAGAAUGUAGUACUUGAUGAGGAACUCAUAAGAGGUUAUGUAGUACUUGAUAUUAUUGAGGUACCAUGGUGUAAUACUCGACGGAAGAUCAAAGUAAAGGUUGGACUGGUGUAUUGAUACACAGAAGACAAGUACUUCAACUUGUCCGAGAAAUGGUAUCAAAGAAGAACAAUAUGGUCGGAACCACGAAUGCAAAAGACCAGAUCCUAGAUAUAAGAUGAACUUAUACCAAGGAAUAAUUAAUUUAAGAGAAGCUUCCAUGAUAAGAUCUACAUCGUGUCCAUGGGCAUGAACACGAAGUUCAAGGUCGACUCCCACUUCUCCCAUGCAUAACCUAUCAUUCACUCCUCAUUUUCGAUGGAGUUGUAGUGUUGAAAUUUUAUCUGGUAAAUCACCAAGAGAAUAUGACUCGUGAAAACUUUCGGGUUCACACGGUUUUAGAGAAGGUAUAGGUUCAACCCAUCGGGGUAUCUUAGAAACAUAUACCACAAGCUUCAAGAGUAAAUAUCACCAGCUCGAAAGUAAAGCAUGGUUGACAAAGCAGAGGAUACAAUUUACCAAAGGCAUUUCAUACCCGCGGAAAGGCUCACAAGGUUAUUGAAUAUGAAGGACACUUUCGGAUAAUAAAUUCAACAAAGGAUCUGAAAGUCCAUAACGGAGCUAAUGUGAGCACCAAUCACACAAUCAGAGGACAAAAACAAUGCAAGGGCAUUGGCUUAUAGAAACAACUGACUAACCCAAAGCUCAAACGCAAAGGAAUUAUGAUUUCCAAAACAAUGGAUCAGAAGCAGACGCUCUGAUUAAGGAUGGAUAAGUUGAGUAAGCAUAGGGGUACAAUCGACGACAAUUGGAUUGGUCAAGAUCCAGCUCAUGUUUAAAAUGACGCCUGAGCCGGAAGGAUGAAUUCUAGGAACUGGCUGAAGAUUGCGAGCAACCGCACCAUAUUGAAUCAAAGGACUCAAAAUGAUAAUGACAAAGGAUGUCAAUAAAAUUACUAGACUUAUGGGAUUAACCAUAAUGUAAGUAAGCAAGAAUUUCAAGAGCAAAAGGCUCCUGAGGAUUUUCGGAAGAUCGAAUGGUAUUUUGAAGACUUUUGUGAAACACAUGAACAACUGGGGAUGAGCGGAUACUCGACAAGUGCGGGGACUUAUUUGUAGGGGUAUUCAUGUGGCAAAGAACUGCAAGGCAAUAGGCACAAAGUAUUCUUGAAACAAUAGAGAAAACUUCGGGGUAUCUUGUAAUAACCAGAUCAAUGGGGGAUGAUCGUAUGAAUGGCAAGUGUAAGUAGUUAUCCAUAAGGAUUUAUCGGUGGUAGGGAAUUGCAAAAGCAACAGGCAUAAGGUCUCGAGAAAAUAUCGGAGAGUAUUGUCAGAAUCUUCUGUUGAAGCAGUCAAUCAUCCAUAAUGAAAUGCUUCUCCGGCAGGAAGUGGUAACGAGAACCUAGAGUUAGAUUUUAGCAAAAUCAUUUAACCCGAAUAGAAGAGAGAUCAGAGUCCCAGAGUAUAGAUCGAGGAAUAAAAGAUCCUAAUAACACCCGAUGGCGACGUGGGCCCAGGGGCCGCACAGCCAAGUUAGUAAAACAAUUUUCAUCGACUAGACUCAACUUCGGCCAAGGAGUGUGGAAGGGGGAUUCCUACAGGCGGUCAGCUCUGAUACCAACUUGUGACGCGCCCGAUUUGACCGUACACUAAUCAUACACGCAAACAUGUAUGAUCAAUAUCAGGGACUCACGGAAAGAUAUCACAACACAACUCUACAAAUAAAAUAAGUCAUACAAGCAUCAUAGUACAAGCCAGGGGCCUCGAGGGCUCGAAUACAAGAGCUCGAUCAUAGAUGAGUCAGCGGAAGCAACAAAAUCUGAUUACAGACAUAAGUUAAACAAGUCUGCCUUAAGAAGGCUAGCACAAACUGGGAUACAGAUCGAAAGAGGCGCAGGCCUCCUGUCUAGGAUCCUCCUAAACUACUCGUGGUCAUCGUCAGCGGGUUGCACGUAGUAGUAGGCACCUCCCGAGUAGUAGUAGUCGUCGUCAACGGUGGCGUCUGGCUCCUGGACUCCAAUGUUUGGUCAUAGCAAACGGAUAUAGGAAAGGGGAAAAGGGGGAGAAAAGCAACCGUGAGUACUCAUCCAAAGUACUCGCAAGCAAGGAGCUACACUACAUAUGUAUGCAUUGGUAUCAAAUGGAAUAAGGGUGUCAUAUGUGGACUGAACUGCAGAAUGCCGGAAUAAGAGGGGGAUAGCUAGUCCUAUCGAAGACUAUGCUUCUGGUAACCUCCAUCUUGCAGCGGGAGAAGAGAGUAGAUGGUAAGUUCACCAAGUAGCAUCGUAUAGCAUAAUCCUACCUGGCGGUUCCCUCCUCGUCGCCCUGUUAGAGAGUGACCACCGGGUUGUAUCUCGCACUUGGAAGGGUGUGUUUUAUUAAGUAUCCGGUUCUAGUUGUCAUAAGGUCAAGGUACAACUCCAAGUCAUCAUGUUACCGAAGAUCACGGCUAUUCGAAUAGAUUAACUUCCCUGCAGGGGUGCACCACAUAACCCAACACGCUCGAUCCCAUUUGGCCGGACACACUUUCCUGGGUCAUGCCCGGCCUCGGAAGAUCAACACGUCGCAGCCCUACCUAGGCACAACAGAGAGGUCAGCACGUCGGUCUAAAUCCUAUGGCGCAGGGGUCUGGGCCCAUCGCCCAUUGCACACCUGCAUGUUGCGAGGGCGGCUAGAAGCAGAACUAGCCCCCUUAAUACAAGAGCAGGCUUAUGUUCCAAUCUGGCGCGCGCCGCUCAAUCACUGACGUCACGAAGGCUUCGGCUGAUACCACGACGUCGAGUGCCCAUAACUGUCCCCGCGUAGAUGGUUAGUGCGUAUAGGCCAGUGGCCAGACUCAGAUCAAAUACCAAGAUCUCGUUAAACGUGUUAAGUAUCCGCGAACGCCGACCAGGGCCAGGCCCACCUCUCUCCUAGGUGGUCUCAACCUGCCCUGUCGCUCCGCCACAAAGUAACAGUCGGGGGCCGUCGGGAACCCAGGCCCACCUCUACCGGGAUGGAGCCACCUGCCCCUUCAGCCCCCAACUCCGAACAGUACCACAGGUAAUGUAAUAGUGUAAAGUAUAUAACAUAUGCCCGUGAUCACCUCCCGAGUGAUCACGGCCCAGUAGUAUAGCAUGGUAGACGGACGAGAGUGUAGGGCCACUGAUGGAACACUAGCAUCCUAUACUAAGAAGUAGGAUAGCAGGUAAAGGUAACAGCAGUAGUAGCAAGGACAGGCUAUGCAGCAGAAUAGGAUUAACGGAAAGCAGUAACAUGCUACACUACUCUAAUGCAAGUAGUAGAGAGAAGAAUAGGCGAUAUCUGGUGAUCAAGGGGGGCUUGCCUGGUUGCUCUGUCAAGAGAGAGGGGUCGUCAACACCGUAGUCGUACUGGGUAGCAGCGGCGUCGGUCUUGAUGUCUAGCGAGAGAAGAGGGGGAAGAAACAAUAAAUAUAAUGCAAACAAAUGCAUGACGAUGCGUGACAUGACAAAGCGUGAUGCUAGGUGUGCCCUAACGCGGUAUGAGGUGGUACCGGUGAAGGGGGGAAACAUCCGGGAAAAUAUCCUCGGUGUUUCACGUUUUCGGGCAUACGAACCGGAGGGGGAAAGUUGCGAGUUCGAUAGGUUAGGGAUGUGUGGCAGACGAACAGGCUGCGUACCCGGAUUCGUCACGUCGUUCUGAGCAACUUUCAUGUACAAAGUUUUUUCAUCCGAGCUACGAAUUAUUUUAUAUUAAUUUUAAAAGAUUUAAAUCAUUUUUAGGAUUUAUUUAAUUAUUUAAAACAGCAUUAUCCAGAACAGUGUUUGCUGACGUCAUCAUGACAUCAGCAUGAUGUCAGUAGUGUUGACUGGGUCAAACUGAAGUGUGGGUCCCUCACAUCAUAGACUGUUUAGUUAGCUGUUUAAUUAAACAAAGUUAAUUAGGUGGGAGGCAGCGGCGACGGGCAGGGAGGCGCGGCUGGUCGGGGUGGCUGGGUCGCAGCCGGCAGCGGUGCGCGAGCACGGCGCGCGGCGUGAGUAGCAGGGAAGAGGAGGCAGCAGUAGUGUUGGCAGCAGAAGCAGCACAGCACGCAGAGCAAGCAGCAGCAGAAGCCGGUAGCAACAGGAGCGCGCGGGUGCGCGCGGACAUGCGCGGCAGUGCCGCCGCGUGGGCGGGGCGCAGCCACGGGCAGAAACAAGAGGGGAGGGGGCGCGGCCACGCGCGCGCGUGGAAGCACAGCACGCAUAAGCAGGCGUAGCCGACGGCGCGGGCAAGGGUCGCGACGAGUGUGAGGUGACCGCGGGCAUGGGCUCGGACGCGGGGCAUGGCGGGCACAGGGGAGAGAGGUGGCGGAGGCCGGGGGCCUCACCCACGUUGGAGAGGUGUUGGGCGUCGUGGCUCGGAGAAGCCGAUCGAGGGAGAGGUCGGGGAGGUCCAGGGCGGGGCAGUCCGGCAGGGAGGUCCGGCGUCGAGCGGCGGGGUCGGGGCAUCACGCGCACAGGGGCGCCGCCCCCGAUCCAGAACGUGGGGGGGAGGAGGAGCGAGGGGAGUGGGUUAGGGUUACGGUGGAGUGGGGGAGGCCUAAGUAGGCCAGUGGCGUGGGCCGGCCUGGCUGGGCCAAGGCCCAGUUGGGCCCAGGGGGUUUUCUUUUCUUUUUCUGUUUGUUUUGUUUUUUUAAUUUUGUUUUUAUUUAUUCUUUUAUGUAUUAUUUUAGUUUCACAUUGCUAUAGUUUAGAUAAAAUACCAAGUUAGUACCUAAAUUAGUAUAAUUAAUAUAGGCCACUGCCCAACUUGGUUUUGACUCAAAAUAAGUUAGCUUAAUAUUUUUAUAAUUUAAAGAGCAAUUAAAAUGUUAUUUAGCCAUUGUUUUUAUUAUUUUAGUGUCUUUAAUUAUUAUUAUUUUAAAUGUGGUUUCUGCACCAAUAUUAUUUAUGCUUUAUUUGCUACAACUUGAACAUUUUAGUUUUAAAGUUUGAAAACUUUUGAUGUUUGCUUUUAAUUCAAUUUUGAAUUUGAAUCGGUUUUGAACUAACGCGAGAUUAUCGAAAGUAAUCGAGGUGACAUGGCACCAUUAGCAGAGGUUUACUGUAGCUUGAUUAUCCGGGCGUCACAAAGGGGCAAGUAACUAUCAAUGUAGACACUUUAAGCACGAGUUACUGCAAGGAGGAACAUUGGAUAUAUGAUAGAAACUUGAUAAUCCGAAUUACUUGGCUUGAGACAAUAAGAAUGAUGAAGUCCCCUUAAUUCUUCAUAAUGUAGCCAAGUCUCCAAUGACCUCCAUCAACACCUAUUGUUCAAGUUUGAGCUAGUUCGUCUCCAACCAAGUUGGGUCCUAAGAGGUUAGUCACAAUAGGCUUGGCUACCCAAAUGGUUCUUUGCUUCAAACCACUUUGAGUACCAACAAACUUGGCAACCACAUUGCCAACCUUAUCCUUCCCAAGAGAAUAGACAUCAUCAAUAAUAGUUGGGUUGGAUAAGUUACCACUAGUGCAUGAAGAAGCGAGGUAACCUUUCUCACGACAUAGGUAGCAACGUCUACUCUUCACUUUCUUCUCACUUGAUUUCUUAACAUGAGAAGCAUUAGCUUGAGUCUUCAUGGGAAGAGGCCUUUCUUCAACUUGAGGUUGAGCAUGAGAAUGCACUUGUAGCAGCUUCCCUUGUUGCUUGUCACUAAUGGCCUUCUUCUUCAAUGGGCAAGAUCUAACAUGACGCCCUUCAAUUUUGCACUUGAAGCAAAUAAUCUUGGCCGAACUCAUGACUUGUUUUUGGCCCUUCUUGUUGUUGCUCUUGUACUUCUUCUUCUUAUUGGAGUUGAAUCCAAGUCCACCUUUUUCAUUGGGGGAUUUUUGUACACUCAAGAUAUUGUUGAGUGUGGCAUUCCCUUCAUGAUACUUUUCCAAAUCUUUCUUCAAAGAAGUGACUUGGGCCUUGAGCUCUUUGAUUUACUCUACAUGGUUAGUCUCAACACAAGCACUAGAGGAAGUAUAAGCUUCAUCUUUAGAGCAACAAGGCAAGGAAAGCAAUUCAUCACAAGAUGUACCAAUGUUAUGCAUGGAUGAAUUGCGAGGACUAGCACAAGGCAAUAUAGCAUUUUGAAUAAAAGUAGUGCUAGUAUCCACAUGAGGCUCACUAGAUGUUACCUUAGCAAGCAUGGCCUCAUGAGCUAACUUUAGCACAUUAUGGGAUACUAGAAGAUCAUCAUGAUAGCUUGUGAGCUUUACAUGAUUUUCUUCCAACAUCCCAUAAUUGCUAGAUAGAAACUUAAGUUGAGCCCUUAGCUCAACAUUCUCCUUCAAUAUGUAGAGUUAGUAGCACAAGCAUCAUCAUUAGCAACAAGAGGAGAAGACAACUUGGCAAGCUCUUUUGAAUAUGAAUCUUUAAGUUGAGCAUGAGACUUGGUGAGUUUGAUGAGCUCACUCUUAAUGACCCUUGAGCCAUUUUCAAGGUGCUCAAAGUCCUCGAGGAGUUUAGCAUGCGCAACUUCAAGCUCCUCAUUUUUAGUUUCAAAAUCAUUGGCCACCUCAAGAGCUCUAUCACGAGAUUCCCUCACUCUAGAUAAUUCUAGAGCAAAAGUCUCCACAAGAGAUUCCUUGGUGGUUUGUUCAAGUUCAAGAGCUUGAGAGAGGUCCACGAUCUCAUUAGCAUAAUCACGCUCAUGACCUUCCAUUUUCUCAAUGGUGACCUCAUGCUCCUCGAGAUGAGAUUCCAACUCCUUAAUGUACUUCUUGCCCUCAAUGGCAAUGGACAUGAUUUCCAUGAAGUUGGAACGGGCAAUUUUAUUUUUAUGAAGAGCUUUAAAAACCAUUUACCCCUUAAUUUCUAAGGAGGCAACAUUAUCAUUCUCUUCAUCAUUAUCCUCAUCAUCAUUAGCGUCAACAUGAUCAUCAAGAGACAUAUUGGGUUUCAAAGUAGGAGAUACCUUUGAAGCCUUGGCCAUAAGGCAAAAAGCAACAGAUGAUGAUGUAGGAUCCCUUGAAGCACCAUUUAAAACCACAUCUUGUUCCAUGGAGUGUUGGGUUUCCUCUACAUUGGUAGCACCACAACUCGAGGAAAUACAAGUAUUUUUAUCAUGGCAACAAGAUAUAGCAAGCAUAUCAUCAUGAGAUUUAGUCAAACAAUUUCUACAAGAUAUGCACGGACUAUCAACACAAGCAUGUGAAACAUGUACGGUGCUCGAAGUGUUAAAGUCCAAAGAAGAUGCAUUGCAAUAAGAUAGUGCUCGAAGUAUUCAAGUCUGGAUGCACCUUAGUUCUUUCGGGAUGCUCUCAUAUUCGGUCGUUCGUCUUGAAAACUUGUUCGACGAAUCUAUCUUCUGUAGCCAAGUCUUGAUCGUCGGAUUAACUCUGAGGUGUUCAGGACCACCUCGGUUUCUGACAAGUGUCUGGACGUAUCAAUGUUGAAUUGCACGUCGAAAAUACUCAUGCGCAGUCGUUCCUUGGUCAUGAAGUAUUCCCGUGCUCAAGACCUGAUGAUGAUCUGGUCUGGCUCAAACAACACAGACCGAUCUUAUCCAUGGGCCCGCUUGGCCACAUGGUUUUCAGCCUUGACGGUUAACAUGGCGUGCAGACGUGGGUUAAGGGCCCACAGUCAUCAUGUACCAUAAAAAAUCGCGUGCAUCGAUACAUGGUAAUUAUCAACCGUCUCCUCGAUUUGUGUGUGUGAUUAACGCACAAUGCUUGGGGAAGUGGGUGAUUUAUUGCCACGUGGUGGGACCAUCCUGUUGUCGUCUGCGUUUUACUAUGCCUAUAAAAGCUGGGAGGUAAUGAGGAGGUGGGAUUUAUGCUCUCAUUCCCCUUUGUCUUCAUCUUCUUCCUCAAGCUUCAACGUCCAAGCCUUCCCAUGUGCCCGAUUCGAAAAAUACCAUGCUAUCCACCCAUAGCCUCAUCAGCCUCCAUGGUCGGUGAGAGGAACGAGAGUCAGGGGGUGAAAGCGGCGAAUUCCGAAAAGAAGCUGACGGUGGACCCAUGUUUUUUCCCAUAUGAGGGGGAGUGGAGGCUUUCCACCAUGGAAUAGGAGCAGCUGGACUAGUUAUCCACAAUCAUGUAUCUACCUCCAUCGGGGAGCACCUCUGCCCAUUUUGUGCUCGUCAUCAAAGAUGGUGUCUCUUGGUCAAGGUGGGAUUCAUAUAGAGGUGUUUGGCUUGGGUGGCAAAGCUCCUCGCCUUGGCCUGCAAAAGGGUGCUUCUAAACAGUUUACCUGGUGAGCUGAUCUUCAACCAGCGAGGUUUGCAGUAGGGGGCCCUCUCCCCCUGCUUUUCGUUGGUGCCAUGGAUGGGCUUCACUAUCUCUUCUGAAAGGCCGAAGAGGUUGGUUUCUAUCAGAGCUUGCUCCUUUGGGAUCACGCAACUGCACCUCCAUAUAUGUCGAUGACGUGGUCAGCUUCGUCAAGUUGGAUAUACUCCGCCGCAAGGCACGCGCGGUGAUCAUUGAGGAUUUUGGGGUAGCCUCUGGACUUUGCACCUACUUUGCAAAGUGCUCGGCCCGCCCCAUCAGGUGCUCCAGUGAUCAGAUCAGGAUGGUGUGGUAGCAACUACUAUGCCCUAUUCUGUAGUCCCCUAGCCGGUACCUUGGGUUGCCCCUAGGUCUUUGUAAGCCUUCGGUAGCACAGUUGCAGACGCUAGUGGGCAAGAUGGUCCGUAGAUUAUCAGGUUGGAUAGCUUGCCUUCUAUAUCGAGGAUGACGUUUGAUCCUACUGAAAAAAAACCCUCACAGUUAUGUCGGUGCAUGCCAUGUUCGUACUGGAUAUCCCAGCAUGGUCCAUCAAGGACAUGAUCAAGAUUAUUCGUGGCUUUCUUUGGAAAGACCGACCACUCCUUCUCAGCUCGGGCGGCCUACAAGGCUCUCUUUGGCCUGCAAUGCAACGCAUAUGCAUGUAUUCAUAGUUUCAUUAUAACGUAAUAUGAUAUAUAUAAUGUUGCAAAACAAUGCAAUGGCAACAAAGAAAAUGAUUUGCUUUGCUGCCACGACGGCUCUGCUCUGAAAAGUUACCAGCGAUGGUCGUCAAAACGGGCUCGCCACUGCUAUGCCCAUAGUAUAUGAUGCAUGUCCAAACCUGACCUACCAAUGACAGAUGGCUCCGUUACCCACCACCAAUAACCGAAUUACCCGGGCACAACCAACGGCCCCAUGUCGCGACACGAGCACAGCUGCACUGGCACGAUCAAUGAUGACCCGUGCUAGCUUACGUGCCAAGCGCAACGGCAACCGCAGCCGCGCAGCGAGGCUCCGGUGUCGGGGUCGGUCGAUCAAGGUGGCGGGCGGGCAAAAGCAGAUGAGAGCCGUCGUUUUCGCUCUCCCCCGCGGACGCCCAGCUAGUUCCGGUCGUUCCGUACAUGGCAGCAGCUAGAAAAAGGUCUCCCGCCAUGAUCACAAACCCAGAAAGGGGUGGCUCGGUCGCCGUCGCGCUCCGGGACAAGAGACCCGGGCUACAUAUAGCUCCAGCUCAGGGGACUGUGUUGUCCGUGUUUCUAACCCUAGGCACCUUGGGCCCCUUGGGGGCGCACCAGCCCACCAGGGGCUGGUUCCCUCCCUUGUGCAGCCCACUAGGCCCACGGGGCAGGUGGCCCCACCCGGUGGACCCCCAAACACCUUCUGGUGGUCCCGGUACAAUACUGAUAACCCCCGAAACAUUCCAGUGACUGAAACUGGACUUCCCAUAUAUAAAUCUUCACCUCCGGACCAUUCCGGAACUCCUCGUGAUGUCCGAGAUCUCAUCCGGGACUUCGAACAACCUUCGGUAACCAGAUACUAUUUCCCAUAACAAUUCUAGUGUCACCGAACCUUAAGUGUGUAGACACUACGGGUUCGGGAACUAUGCAGACACGACCGAGACAUCUCUUCGGCCAAUAACCAACAGCGGUAUCUGGAUACCCAUGUUGGCUCCCACAUGUUCCACGAUGAUUUCGUCGGAUGAACCAUGAUGUCGGGGAUUCAAUCAAUCCCGUAUACAAUUCCCUUUGUCCAUCGGUAUGUUACUUGCCCGAGAUUCGAUCAUCGGUAUCUCUAUACCUCGUUCAAUCUCUGGCAAGUCUCUUUACUCGUUUCGUAAUGCAUGAUCAUGUCUGAAAGUGCAAUCAUGCCCUUAAUCUUAGUUUGAUGUUGAUGACAACAUGCAUUUUUGGGACUAAUCAUGUUUAUCAAGUAUAUCUCAGGAUUAUGUUUCAAGUGCUAUGUGUGUGGAUCAUGACUACAAACAAAGAGGUACAUAUUACUCAAGAGCGGAGAAUACAAAACAAAUGGCUUUGGCCCUUUCUUUCGAUUUGUUCUUGAGUAUAGGGAUCCCGCACUAUUAAGAGGGGAUCGUUGGGUUAUGUGAAAGACUUGCUCAAAAUCCACAAAACACUUUUUCUAUCAUCUCUUAGUUUUCACCAUGUGUGCACGGUCUCUUUGUGUUCUUGAAUCAGUUGGCCCAGCCUUCACAACUGACCGGACAUCCGGCGCCCACCGGAUGACCAGUACUUCUCAACAGAACCCUUAUUAGCGGAUGUACGGUUUCUUCGAACGUCCGGUACAUCUAAACAGAACUCAUAUUAAUGGAUUUCCGGUUUCUCCGGACUUCCGGUCAGCGGUCGACCGCUACUCUCCGGACGUCCGCUACCUGUGUUGUUUUAGCGGUCAGAUUUAUACUCCAGCGAGCGGACGACCGGCUGCCCGGUCGGACGUCCGGUCCGAUCUGUGUCACCGGUCGUCCGGUACCCACCGGACGUCCGGCAGCUCCUGUGCCUUAAGUGGCCAAACGGCUAGCUUUUCACUACCACUAUAUAUAGCCUUCUUCCCCCACGGGAUAGGUUUGACCACUCACUUUGAACAAACCUUAGAACACACAUUACACUCUCUCUCUCACUCCUCCACACCAAAUCUUAGAUCCCUAAGGGAUUUGAGAGCAUUUGAGAGAAGUUGUCCGAUCAAGUGAUAGAUCCACUCCUUCCCUUUUCUUUGCACCAAAGGAAACUUGAGCAAGUCUUGAGCUUUUCCCCAUCGUUCUUGUUACUCUUGGAGGUUGGAGACUUCUAGGCGAUAGGAGUCUUUCGGAGAGGAAUCGACCCUUGUGAUUACCCCUGGAAAAGUUUGUGAGGGUUCGAAGACCACCCCAAGGUCUACCACUAGUGGUUGAGAAACACCUUCGUGGUGUUGUCUCAAAGAGAGAAUAGGGUGGGCCUUCGUGGCGUUGGUGUGCCUUCGUGGUAACACCCACCUCUCUAAACGGUGACGUAGCUUCCCUCCAAGGAAGUGAACAUCGGCUUACAUCCUCGUCUCUCGGAGUUGCGGUUAUCCCUAACCUUAACUCUCUACUUGUGGUUACUUGUCUCGUCUGCACUUACCUAUAUCAUAUUGUGCUAGCUUACUCAUCUACUUGUAUUACUUGAUUAUCUUGUUUAGCUCUUAGCAUCACACUUGCAAUUGUUAGGCUCACUUUCAUAUUCCGCACUAUUGCCUAAAAUUGCCAAGUAACAAUUAAAAUUUGUAUUUGUACCUAUUCACCCCGCCCCCUCUAGGUCCAUCUCGAUCCUUUCACCAUGGCUAACUCCUUAGUCACACUGAGCUCGUUAUGAUGAUGCAUUACCGAGUGGGCCCAGAGAUACCUCUCUGUCAUAUGGAGUGAUAAAUCCCAGUCUUGAUUCAUGCCAACCCAACAGAUACUUUUGGAGAUAGAUGUAGUGCACCUUUAUAGCCACCCAGUUAUGUUGUGAUGUUUGGUAUACCCAAAGCAUUCCUAUGGUAUCCGGGAGUUGCACAAUCUCAUGAUCUAAGGAAAUGAUACUUGACAUUAGAAAAGCUUUAGCAAACGAACUACACGAUCUUGUGCUACGCUUAGGAUUGGGUCUUGUCCAUCACAUCAUUCUCCUAAUGAUGUCAUCCCGUUAUCAAUGACAUCCAAUGUCCAUGGUCAGGAAACCAUGACCAUCUAUUGACCAACGAGCUAGUCAACUAGAGGCUUACUAGGAAUAUAUUACGAUCUAUGUGCUAUGUAUUCACACAUGUAUUGCGGAUUCCGGUUAAUACAAUUAUAGCAUGAACAAUAGACAAUUAUCAUGAACAUGAAAAUAUAAUAAUAACCACUUUAUUAUUGCCUCUAGGGCAUAUUUCCCACAGUGGCUUCGCAAGAUCUUUGGAUAUGGCAUUCUUUCUUCGGCAUGGCAGGUUCUCACAAUGAUAUCAACGUGCUGCAGUGUUCUCCAGUCUUCGCAAGGCUUGCAGAAGGCCACUCCCCACCUGUUAACUUUGAGAUCAAUAGCCACAAGUACAACAAGGGAUACUACCUAGCUGAUGGUAUUUAUCCUCAGUGGUCAACUUUUGUGAAGACAAUCUCGAACCCUCAAGAUUACAAGAGACAGAGAUUUGCCCAAAUGCAAGAGAGUGCUAGAAAGGAUGUGGAACGUGCUUGAGGUGUGCUUCAAAUCCGAUGGGAUACCGUUCAAAACCCUGCACUAACAUGUGAUGAAGCAAAGCUUUGGGAGGUGAGGACUGCUUGUGUGAUCAUGCACAACAUGAUCGUCGAGGACGAGCGUGAUAACAACAUCUUCGACCAAGGGUUUGAUUUUCAAGAUGAAAAUGUUGAGCCCCUGCACCAAGAACCGGCCACGUUUGAACAGUUUGCUCAAUUUCAUCGUGAAAUGUGUGAUUCACACUCAUUUGAAUCUUUAAAAUGACUUGGUUGAGCACAUGUGGAAUCAUAUUGGCAACCAAUAGAUGUAUUGGUUCAUUAUGUUCAUUCAAGAUAAUUUCGAUUUGAUUGUAAAACUAUUUUAUUAAAGACGAUUUCAACUGGGUUGUAAAACUAUUUUUAUUUGAGACAAAUAAUAUUUGGACGUGCAAACUAGUUUGGAACAUUGAAAUAUGAAUAUAUGGGCAUUUUGACCAUGGCGGACAGGAUGGGGUCAAAGGAUGCGUCUGCACGUUGGGCGCACGGCUCCGAAAAGUUACUAGUGAUGGUCGUCAAAAUGGGCUCGCCACUGAUAUGCCCGUGGUGUAUGGCUGGUCACUCAUGCCUGACCAGACCUACCAUCUACCAACGACAGAUGGCUCCGUUACACGCCACCAAUAACCGAAUUGCCUGGGGACAACCGACGACCUCAUGUCACGACACGAGCACAGCUGCACUGGCACGAUCAACGACGACCCGCCUAGCUUACGUGCCGAGCGCGAACGCAACCGCAACCGCGCAGCUCGGCUCCGGUGUCGGGGUCGGCCGAUCAAGGUGGCGGGCGGGCAAAAGCAGAUGAGAGCCGUCGCUCUCCGGUCGUUUCGUACGUGGCUGCAGCUAGAAAAAGGUCUCCCGCCACGAUCACGGACCCGGAAAGGGGUGGCUCGGUCGCCGUCGCGCUCCGUCCCUGUCACCCGCGCUCCGGGACAAGAGACCCGGGCUACGAGUAGCUCCAGCGACUUGCCAGGGACUGUGCUGUCCGUGUAGCCGGCACUGCACACACGGCGACACCGCGCGCCCCGGCCAACUUUCAUCGUACUGCCACGAGUGGACGGUCCGAUUUGAGGCCCCAACAGUAUCACUGUGGUGCUACGCUCCGUGUCGAAACCAAAAGGGACGCCGCACUGAGAGGAGUCCUCAGGCCAAAAAGAUAAAAAAUCCGAGAAGAAUUUCCGGCCCACGACAACCCAACCCUCUGAUAGAUCAUCAAGUUAAAAAAAGAACCUCUCUCAUAGAUCUCUUGCCCGGGAAAAGUGACGCCGGGCUGCCUCACUGGUCGACUAAACUAAGCUAAUCAGUCCAUAUGAUACAGAAAAGCUGGAUAUUAGUGGCCGCGUGCGCAAUGAGGACGCCAUUGACGCCACUGCACGCAGCACACCGUCGUUGUUAAUCAGCCAACCCGUCGUCAACCCACGCACGCACCCACCCAGCAGCACAGCACAGAGCCAUACAUGCACGCACCCAGCGACCACAACAGUCUAGAAGCCCGGAAACGAUCGAGCAUUCGAGCUCAAAAGGACGCCUUGCAUUGCACCGGCAGAAAAGCGAGGGGUGCCUUCGUUCGCUGCACCGCAGCAUCUGCACCGAUACUGUUCCUCCAAGGAAGGACCUGACGGAUGUUGUCACCGCGCACUGACCCGACCUCCAUUGCUCCCUCGCCUGCUUUACCACCCAGAGCUCGUUUUAAACGGAAAAGAGGCAGGGGAGUGGGUUCCGGGGGGACGUAUGUUGACCUCUGGGGUCUGGGCGUGGGCGGCAAGUUUGCUAAUCGCUAGCUAGCUCAUGCUCCAUUACCGCGUCGCGACGUAAAACUAAAAGAACGGCGAGGAGUGCACAGAGACAGACAGUGAGCCAGAUAGCAUAAACUAUGGCGCCUGGCAUCUUGCCUACGUCGAAGUCUCCGUCCGUCGUCCAAGUAUCUAGCGCCACAGGUGACUGAUAUUUGAUGGUGGUCUAGAUCCUGGCUGCCUCUGGUUGGAAUUCCUACGUGCACGGAACUCGUGUCGCGCAUUAUAAAGCAAACCAGCAAAGCAGCAUACAAAAUCUAGCAAGAGAUGCAGUGACGACAUGACACGAGACCAACCGGAGAUCUUUCUUACCAAGGCCAUGCUUCGUUGGUUGGUAGCCAAAAAUUUUGGCACGCCAACAACGUUUGGCAGGCCCGGGAGCUGCCGAAAACGGCAAGUUUUGUGAGGCUUGGCAAGGUAAAUUGGCAAGAGCGAACCGAGUGAGCUUACAGGUGACGGGGCCCACCUGUAACGGGCCUGGGGGUCCACGGUGCCAGUGACAGUCACCCUCUGCUGCUUCCUGUUCACCUCUACGCGUUCCACACCUGCAACUCCAAAAAAAAACCUCUCGUCAAAAAAAGAACCACUAGCUCGGUAGCUCCUACUAGUAAAAAUCAGUGCUGACAAAAGUUAAAAUGGACGCUAAGCCAAAUCACAGAAAGGGAAAACGAGACUAUUUAUUCGCUAAGUAAACUAGUCGGACAUGAGCGCGAAAAUGGGGGGUUCAUCAUCUUUUCUGAGCAGAUGCUUCAGUGUUGUAGCGACAGGUGUACGGGCUAAGGAAAAGCUUAGGCAGACAUGACACGACGGGCAUUAUUGAUCAGGAGCUACAUGCUGUUGUCUACUACGCUCUAGACGGCGACGAACAUGGAAAGGCACUGCCCUAGCCUCCUAGGCACGAUGGCGACGAGCAGAGGAAACAAGACAAUGUGACCGACCUCAAUGAGUGACCGACGGAACGAACUGAACUAACCUCGCAUGCCGGCGAGUGCCUUCUUGACCUGGCGCUCGCAGUCCAUCCGGACCCUGAGCUCCACUGUCUGCGGCCGCGUGCCCUCCUUCUUGGUGCCCCUCUGGCCUCCACCCACCGCUCCCAGCAGGCUCGCCACCAGCUGCUUUAUGCCGCUUCCCAUGGAGAACGAACGCAGCGGGAGGCUCACUGGAAGUGGGUGAAUGAGUGACGAGUGAGUGAGUGAGUGAAGCAAGAAGCCUGCCUGAGUGGAGGGCCUAGGCAGCUAGUGCUGUGUCGUGCAUGCAUAAUGGCACGGCAUUGUCUGGCUGGCUUUGUAAGAGGCCGGCCGGGGAACUGCUCAAAGGCGACCUGGAGAAGGCAAUGGCGCCUCGGCGAGGGGACAGGAGAGACGGGGGGCUGGUGUGUAUGCGUGUGUGUGUGGAGGCUGACAAGAGAGCACGAAGAGAGGAGGUCGGGGAGAAGUGACGGAGCCGUGGCCCGUGGUGGUGGUGGUGGUGCGAGGCCUCUCCUCUCAGAGCCAGCCUCAUGUGACUGACGACGACGGUCGUGCACGCAGUGGCUCGGUGCGGGCGGUUGUGUGUUGCAGUAGGCCGAGCCUUCCGGCUUUGGGAGAGCGGUGCAGUGCAGAGUGCAGAGUGCAGAAGUGCAGAAGUGCACGGCGCAAGAAAUCGCCUGCAAAUCUGCGGCCUGGGAAAAAGGGAUUCGCACAUGCGUGUGAAACAUCACUGCCAUCGAUGGACGGAUGACUGCACGGACAAGCUCUUCCUCCUCUUCCUAUCCUCCUCCGGCUUCAUGGUUUUUGCACCGUUUCCUUGUAGCACAGGAAACUAUGGGCAGAUGUCGUGAUGAUGUUUAGCAGCAAACCCAUCUGUAAAGUGAAAUGUUCUUCUAAGAUUGGUGACGAGCGAUUGGCGAGUGACCCAUUCGCUGGCGGAGUGGAGUUCUACCCCUACGCUUAAACUCGGGAAGCGCUUCCGAAACAGGUGACAAACGGGACUUAUGCGAUAUACAGGGGCUAUCACCAGUUAGGUUUAUUCAGUUGCUGAUUCAUGAGAUGAAGAACACGGUGGAGAUGGUCAGAAACAGCAGCCAGCAACAGUUGGCGAGUAGCUUAUGUAAGUUCGACGGCCCGCUCGAGGAGGUCGGCGCCUUGCCUGCGACGGCAGGAGGCGUCACGGUGGGAGAGGUCUGCUGCUCGCUCGACGGCAGCGGAUCCCCCGGGCUGUGGUGCUGCGACGGGCCCAAGGGCACCGUCGUGCUGUUGUCAAGAUCAUGGCCUGCGUACAAGGGAGAGAGCGUUAACAUUUCAUGGAUUGAUUGGGAGGUAAAUUCGUUUCUUUUUGGACUAGUUUCUGACUUACACUCAGACCGGUACCAGCCCAGCUUCAUGUUCUCUUUGUCAAAAACAAUGUGGUAUCCAGUCAGGAAGUUCUCUGCACCCACGGAUACCAGGUAAGCUAAUUUUCAAAAUUAAAAUAAAAUUUGAGACUACAUGUUAACCCAGGAUUAAAGCACUCACGUCCAAUGAUUCCAAUAGGCUCUGGUGACUUCUGAACAGCUAAGCAAAAGCCAGCAAUCGAUCCCUGAACAUUAGCAAAUGAGAUGGUAUCACCGAGCCGCAAAACAGCUACAGUUCUAUUUCAUAAUGACAAAUAUAUAUUUUUCUCUCAAAAUGACACAUCUGCCUUUUGUGUACAAACAUGUGGGUUUUGUAUCAUAUGUAUAUGUUACAACAAAUCAGGCAGUAAGUUUAUGCGCUGUGAGCACAUUACAGAAGGGCUCAGCUGUCAAAAGAUAAAUGGCAUCACUAAUGGUACUCUCAUAGUUUACCUUGACUUUGUUUUUACUAAAAUCUAAUAACAUUGUGCAAUGAGCAUAGAAACAAUUGAUGACAGGUUCAAGUUCGCACCACACAUGCAAACUCCACAUUACACUAUAACAACUUUUAAUAGAUGAGCCUAGCAAGCGCCAAACUAUAGAAAUCAUUCUAGUACAGUAUCUUGUUUUCGCAGUUGAGCCAUUUUACGCACCAACUAUAUUUGUUUAAUCAAUAAACUGUGGGAGAACACACAGGAAGGAGCAUUUGAAUGCAGUAUACUAUAUCGGUUAUGUAAGGGAGAUAACUGGAGCUAGCUCUUUAAGAAAGAAGAGAAAAAUACAAAUGGAGUCGAUUUGCGCAUAAUAACUUGUUCUUGGGAACAUUUUUUAUAAGGAGUCCCGCCUUUGGACGCUUAGGCAGCAAGGCACCCUGUCAGCACCUUGACAUCAUGCCCGCUUUUGGCGCUUAGGCGUAAGGCUGUUGGUGCUCGCCUUAGGUCGCCUUACCACCUUAUAAACAAUGCUCAGCAAUGAACACAACAUAACUUGCAUUUUUUUUCCUGAGACAAAAAAGACAUACCUCUCCGUUCUUGCGUACAAUUGUAGGAUUAACGACCUGAAAGCUCUUGUUUGCAGAUAAAUUAAGAGUUACAGUUGGCACGUCAGGCAUCUCCAGAGGACUGAAAUCACAAACCAGUACAAAUGAAAAUGUCAAAAAUCAAACUAGCUCCUGGUGAGUGGUGACCUAAAGUGCAGUCAGAAUUCGGAAGUUACCUGGCACUGUAGCAGUAUUCAAAAGAAUCAUCUUCCUGGGUUAUUCUUGAGGCAUUAACUUGUUUGUCAAACUGCAAAUUUAUAAUGGAUCAGUAACAAAAUUUAUCUACGAGUGAGAGAUCUGUAAAGGGGUAUGUAUCCACCUCGACAGUGACAGCCUUGUAAACAUUCAGGGGAAGAGCUGUGAAUGAUGUUCCACUAUCAACUAUGGCCUCGAAGUUAGUACCCUCAAAACAUUUGUGGCCAACACAAGAUUUGUCGACAUUAACAGCAUAAGUUUGACUGGGAGGAAAAUAAACACGGAUGUCAGUGGAGCUAGAAAUAACUUGAGAAUCACUAAAGCAACUAAAGACCAUUCCAAGGAACUCACAAUUUGCCAUAUAAAGGAACAAAUGGCGUCGACUGUUGGGUAGACACUCCUUGAUCACCAAAGAAAAUUCUCCCAGAAUAUUCCUUGAAACACAUCGAAAAGGAAUUUCGAACUAAUCCAGCUCUUGCAAGGAAGCUAGGAACUGAGAUAUCUGCCAUCCCAAGGCCAAGAAGUCCAUCUGGUGCAAUACCAUCCAAAUAGCUACCACUUUGCUUCCUACCACAACUAUAAAAAAAGGAUACACUAACUUAGUAAAACUGGAAAACUACAGCAAUCAUGCGACUAGAAUUCUUCAGUACAGAAGCAUCAUCCGUCAUGCCAACAAUUAUGUUUCAAGAGUGCAUAGAAGGAUCAACAUAACACAAAAAAUAUGCAACACAAAGAAUGGUAACAGCUUAAAAUGCCAUCUGUAGGCAACUGGAUGAAUAUGAAUAUAUGAUGCAGGUCCAGGUGGACACAGUAUGCAACUACCCACAGCAGAAAACAAGCAGAAAUGAAGAAUGCCCACACGCGGGAAAAACAUACCAAUUGUGACUGUUAUUUGCCAAAUAAUGGAAUACAAGCAUAAACUCAUAGAGAGAGCAAUGACAGCUGGUACAAAACUUACCCUAUAAUGACUGAAGCCUUCACUGGUGCAUGGCUCUCUCUGGAGUUCAAGUGUAGAACAUCCUCAAUUAGUAAACCUGAGCUGGUUGUGUUUUCUUGAAGAUAGUCAGUGCUGUAUGGGCAAGGCUGCUUUGGGCUUGAACAGCCUGAACCUGAUGAGCAAAGCUCAUGGCUGCAGGGCAAAUGCCGACUCGUUGUUGAUUCAGCUGGUUUGUAAAUCCCGAGAUCUCUAUCCUGCAUAAUAGAUGCUCCAUAUAUGACGGAGCACCUGCCAAUCAAUCAUUGCAAAUAAGCACUAAAACUGCUUCCCAAUUUGUACAAGUCCUCUUGUUUGUGUAUUUCUAUCAAGUAAUAUAAGCAACUUUAGGAUCGAUAAAAUUCAACAGAAAAUUUUCACCAGAGAUCACUAAAUAUGUCUCCAAGUGCCAGUUGGGCUUAAAUUGGAAAUUGUGCAGCUCACGUUAUUGUGACUUUUUCAAUUAAAAGUGGCAGUGGUAUCAAAGGUGCAAAACUAACUUGGACAUCUAUGUGAAUCGUCUCCCCUAAAUUGAAUGGAACGUUAAUUAAGUACCAGGAAACAGUCGAAACGUACACGCCGUGUAUUAGUUUCUUCAAUCUACAAGGAUACUAUUAUCACAUGCUUUAAUGUUUUACUUUGGGAGAAAGGAGUUAACUAUGCGCAAGCAUCAUUUCUUUUCUUUUUGCAAUAGCAUGUGCAAGCCUCUACAGCAUGCAUCUGGUCAAAUUGACACGAGCAUUUCCAAAUCCAGCAUCUGCAGACCCUAACACAAUGUUACUGUUCAAAAAAGGGUGCGUACCAAAGUUUCACGGUAGCCAGCCAAUGGAGCACACUCGAUACAAUCACAGGGUACCCAGAACAGAUCACUUCCAGUAUCCAAUGCGACCAUAAAGGAAGUGUUCGGCGUCCCGACAUCCACCCAUGUGUAAUACAACCUGCACAGACAGGGGUAACGCCAUUAGUAAUCAGUAAAGCUAAGCUUCGGUCCAUCAUAGAUUCACUUCACAAUGUAACACACACACACACCCAACAAAGCAAAGCAACUUCUCUUUUUCUAAUUCUGUGUUUCUCUAUUAUAAAUAUGAUGUAAAGCUAACUGGGUCUGGUAGAGCAUUGGAAAAUAAGCUUCUGCAUUAACAGUACAGUUCAGCAGUAAAAGGUGCUGAGGAAUGCAGCAAGACCAGACGGCCGGGCCGCCGAGGCGAGGGUGAGUGAGCGCGACGCACCAGCCGAAAUCGUUGCCGGGGGAGAAGAUGCCGCCGGCUUCCGAGACGGAGAGGAGCUGGUGCUUGCGCUUCUGCCGCUGGAGGUCGCUCCGCACCAGCGCGCGGUAGUAGCCCCCGCUCCCGUGCGGCGGCCACCGCGCCGCCCCGUGGGGCCCCGCCGCCACACGCGCCUCGUCGGAGAGCCGGUGCACCAUCCUCGUCGAGAGCGUCGCCGCGGCGGCCGGCGCCGACGCCGCCGCGGCGAGCAGGGCGAGGAGGAGGAGCGGGAGGCGCAUGGGCGGAUCUGGGCGGCCGACGGCGGAUCUGCCGGAAAUGCGGGGAGGUGGCCGGAGGAGGGGGGCCUGGGGCUAGGGUUUGUUUGCUGGGUGGCCGGCGAGGAGCGGGGAGGUGGCGGGGGUGGGUGGGGAGCGUGACGGUGGAGGGGCUGCUUGGGCGGUGCGGUGGUGGUGGUGGUGAUGGUGGCCUGGAAGUUUGCGCAGAAAAGAGGACGACAGAGAAGGUUUUGGCAGUUUUGCGAAAUGGCCACUGAAGAAACCCUGUAUUUUGGUUGAGUCCCGCUUAGCAGAGUCGUUGCCACUCAUUGGUCCCUCGGUCGCAGUUUUGUCACUUUUAUGCUUCUAUUUUUUUUUUUUUGAGAUAGUCACUUUUGCAUGUUGAUACUAAUCUACUGGCUAAAUAAAAUCAGACCAUCUCUUUCCCGCAAAAAAAAAUCAGACCACCUCUGAAAAAACACUGUAAGGACUAACCGACAUAUUAGGGGCCUUCUCUAGGUGUUUCUUGGCUAUUUUGCUUGCAUAAAUUGAGAGUCGAAGCAUUCUAAACGUGUGCGUGCAACGGAUUGGACGAGUCGCUACGUUCUCUGCAUGGGCCGCUCUGCAUAGCGUCGUGCACGUGUGCAUCGAUUAGUGGAUCGGGGAAAGCGGGAAGGAGGGGCAAAAUCGAAACAGAAGGCUAUGAAAAGUUGAAACUUCUGGAGUAUUUUAAAAAAGUACAAUACAUUUAUAAACACAGUAAAUUCAAAUUAAGGGAAUACUAGCUACUCAAACACCCUUGUGUAUUAUUUGUUGUGUGAGUGUAACUGGUAACUGCCCAUAAGAGGAUAAGUCAUAUGUCAUAAUAUUACACUUUAUCAUGGAUGCAUAAUAUCUUAACGGAUUUAAAAAACGAGUUCCAUGUAGAAAUGAACAAAGCGGUUCACGAUUUCAUGUAACAUUUGAAUGUUUCUGUUUCAGAUAUUAACAUUUGAAUGUUCGAAAGCAAAAUGGGAGAAUUUCCAUUGAUAGGGUGGUAGGACGGUAUUUUUCUAGAGUAUUUAGUACUACAAGAUGGCACUCCAUUCGGUUUUUUUUUGGGUCUGCAUAUAAAAUUUGGUAUAUGUCAACACCUACAAUACUAAAGUUAUAUGGUAUAAAAAUUAAUUUAAUGACGCAUGUGAAUCUCGAUAUUUUUUCUUAUAUACUUACUCAAAAAUUGACUUUCAAUUUCUUUAUAUAUACGGACUAAAAAGAAAUGGAGAGGGUUCUUUCCUUGUUUACGUUAGCAGACAAGAUGGGACUAAAAGAUUGUUGGGGUGGUGAAUUGGGAAAACCUGAUCGAAAUACCGAAAGGAGCUGCCUUGUGAAUUGUCGGAAGCAUGAGGGCCUACUCGUUUGUUUUUGCUGAUUAUUAUUGGGGCUUUUUAACAGCAACGGUCGUUUCAACCACAUGACCGGAGUCCCCACAGGCCACAGCCAGAGUCCACAGUCCACUCGAGGCGCGUGCUGGUCCCCACGUGGCGGCGGGACGGCCGCUACGUCCUCGCUGCCUUUCUAGGUGCGGGGCCCAUCAAAUGGACGGUGCAGAUGCUGCUGAAGCGCCGGUCAGGGAUGGAUAUCAUAUCCCCGUGGCAGCUGCUGCACGAGACUGAUUUGCUGCUGAACCCCGUGACAGCAAAAAGAAAUUUACCCUUUCAAAAAAAAAAAAAGAAAUUUACGUGUACCGCUGGCGCUCAAGACGGUUCCCAACGCCUAAUGUUGAGUGCCACCGGAUAUCUAUCUAUCCGUAGGCACGAAUGCCACGAGCAGCGUGACAAGUCCAUCUCAUGUUUCUACUACUUUACACAAUUAUCAUUAUCAUGGAUCGAGGAGCUAUUUUGGUAGUACGACCUUUGACAAGGGCCGGGCUCCUUUCGCUGUACCUUUCGACGCGCACGCCACUUUGCAUGAUGAUGAUGAUCUUCAUCAUGAGGAAAAGGCUCUUUGCCGAUGCAAAAGUCAGCCGCUAGCGCUACGAACAAAACCGAGAGUGGCGGUGCAGGUGCGCGAUCGCCAGAAACCCUACGGGAGGGGAGAGGAGCGGUCCGGAGCGCCGGCGGAGUUCGCCUGAGUUUCGAGCGUCCGGUAGAUAGAUUCAGAGACGCCUGUGCCUGUGCCUGUGCCCUACUGCACCUGUUCGUGUUUGCAGUAUACUAGUACGUGUAAAUCCUGUUCGCUGCGCUGGCCGGCUGGCCUCGUGCCACGUAAACUAAGCAAGGUUCUGAAAAAAAAACUUAAAAAGCAAGGCUCGCAGGGCUGCGCGCACUGUUGGUUUGGUUGGGAAAGGCACGAAUGCCGGUGCUGAUCCUGCCGCUUCCAGGGACACGUGUUGCGAGCUGCGACACGCCGAGCGGCGCGACCCGCGCGACGCGCACCUCUGUUUCGGUUUCAUUUUGCUUUUCGGACAAAGUCGAAAACAAACGUUGAAUCUGUAGAAGAAAGAUAAGUCAAACCCUAAAACUUUGAAUCAACUUGUCAAUCCCCUUCAUCAUGCUUUAUGUUUUCACUGCUUUUCUUUGCAUUUUUCUCUUUGUUAUAUGGGAAACGACUAGUUUCACCCGGCUGAUUUUAGCGUGCGUCCGCCGCCCGCUGUGCCGUUGGAUCCCUGAUCCGUUUCUCCUGCCAUACACAGUGUCUCCACGUUCAUCCCUUGCACAUGUGUGGUCCUCGUGGGAUAUUAGCUUAUUCUUAUCCAUAUAUGUUUGAUUUUUACUGCCGCACACACUACUUCGCGCACUGCUGCCAUGUACAACACACCAUAGCUGUCUUUUCCAACGGCAUAUCCUGUGCGUCUUUAGAGAUGUGGUUUCAGCAAAAUCGAUAGGUUGCAAAGUGCUUCUAUGGUUUAUUUUUUUUUAGGAAAACGCUUGGCUUCUACCGGCGGAUCGCACGCGAGCAUUCGCCGACUCGUCUGUACGACACGUGUCCCGAGGGAGCGGUCUUUUUUUUUCGGUCAACGUGGCCACUGCUCGCUGCUCAAUGUCCACUACGAUGAGUUUUCGCGGCAAGGUCUAUUGUAGUAAAAACUGCAACAAGACUUCUGUUCAGAAAAAUUAAAUUUAAAGCGAGACCGUUGUUGCUAAAAAAACUAAAUUGCAACAAGACCUCUGUUGCAAAAAAAAUGAAACAAGAACUCUGUUACAAAAAAAGUAAAUUGCAACAAGGUCUCUGUUGCAAAAAAAAAUCUUGCAAAAAUUUCCGCAACAUGAGUCGUGUUGCAGAAAAUUCCCACAACAUGACCUAUGUUGCAAUGAUAAAAGGGUGACGCUCAGUCGCUCAAUUCGAAUCCGUUGCAAAUUCUUUUUUGAAACAAGGCCUUUGUUGUCAGAAAUACUGUAACAGAGCUUUUGUUGCAAAAAUAAUUAUUUUGCAACAGAUCUCUAUUGCAAGAAAAAAAUGCAACUUAAGCUAUGUAGUAAAAAUUUCCGUAAAAUGACCCGUAUUGCAAAAAAAUUCCGCAACACGACCUGUGUUGCAAUAAUAGAGGAUGACACUCGGUCAAUAAAUCUGUCUGAUCCUACAGCUCGCGAGGCGGAGGAUCUUUUAAAAAGAUCCGCCGGCCGACACGUAGCGUUGCCCUUUCUUGAAAGCAUUUUGGAGUGCUAAUUUUGUUUUCCAUAACUUCCACGAAUGUCAAUUUUGUGCUGAAAUUUGUCGAGCACGCAAAACAUUUGUCAAAGUUUGUGAUUUUUAGGAUUUUUCCUAUUCAUCGCGAGCUCACUUGAGCUCGGGAACAGAAGAGGACUGUCAUGUCGUUGCUUUCACUACACAUGUUGUUUUCAAAUUAAACCCAGUGUACAUCAAAAUAGAAGGUGCUACCUGAUUGGGGGGGGAAGGGGGAGACAAGAGAAAUAUGUACAAUGUUAAUUGCAGGACGUAAAUAAAACUCAUCAACAGGGUUCUUCCAAAAUUGAUAGGAACUCUAAAAAAAAUCUAUGGCACAAUCCUACGGUAAGAAAUGUUUACAAAUAUUAGUUUUUUCCUCUAUGGUUGCACUUGCAUUUUUUAUAGGCUUCAAACAUUCUGUAUGAUGGGGCAUCAAGUAAAUUUCUUAGCUUUUCAGUUAGGUACAAUUCUAUGAUUAACAAGAUACGAAUAUUUUUUUUCUUUUUCCAAAAAGGUCAAAGGCAAAUCCUUACAAAAUGACCCUUACCGGAAAUGAGAAGUACAUCCAUAUUCUUGGAGUUCCUCACGCAUCCACCGACGGCGUGUCAUGAGCAAAACUUGUUUCUGCUUUGAGACUCCGACUCAAUGAAUUAACUUGUUAAAAUGUACGAAUUUGUAGAAGUAGCGGUCGAAAAGUUGCCGAAGACCAGAAGACACAAACAUCAACGAGCUAAGUAGCAAAUCGUCACCCUGAAGAAGAAAACGCUGAAUAUGGCCCGUAACUAACUCAAUACUCUAGUAAACAAUGCAUAAAAAUGUUUUUUAUGCGGCAUGAGUAACUAAUUCAAUAAUAGGGAAAUUUUAGUUUUUUUCAUUAUAUAUUUUGCCAAUUUUCCUUUUGCCACUCUAGAUUUUGACAUUUCACUUUUGCCACUCUUAGUUUUUGACAAUUAUCACAACUGUCAUUCCCGUGGCAAAAACAACAUUUUCAGAGUGGCAAUUGUAAUACAUUUCAAAAGCUAAGAUUGGCAAAAAUGAAAUAAAAACAUUUUGGUUUUGCCACGGAAUGACAAUUGUGAUAAUUAUCAAAAGCUAAAAGUGGCAAAAGUGAAAUGUCAAAAAUCUAGAAUGGCAUAAAGAAAAUUGACAAAAACAAAAAUUUCCCGCAUAAAAAAUGUGUGGUCGCACAUUGUGAUGCUAGAUUGCUAGGUGGUUCCCAUCACGGUCCGCCUCAUGUCUCAACAAUCAAGUCUCAACGACCGAAGUACUAGGUGGCCGUUCUCUCUCACGCCCGGGAACAGUGCAAACAGAUACUUAGACGCCUCCACAUUUCACUCACCGAUCCAUGGGCGCCCCAGCGUCAAACCAGAAAAACCGUAGUCUGCGGGAUGAUGCUAUUUUGCGAUAACAACCGACCGAGGCUCUCAAACAGAAAGCAAAAGGAAAAGGUUCAAAAUAAACCUUAAACUUGUAGAUGAAAGAUAAAAUAAAUCCUGAACUUUGAAUCCCAAAAAAUGGUACUUUGAACUUGUCAAUCUCGGUCUAUUUCGAAUCCUAGAACUGUUUGGCACACUGAGAGUACUCAAUCUCGGUCGGAUAACGUGCUACUCCCACGAACGAGAAUUUGGGCCGGCCCAGUAUACCACAACGAGGUAGGCAGUUUUCGAAAUGUUCAUGUUUUUAAUAAAAAUUCAAAAAAUGUUCGUAUUUGCAAAAAAAAUCAUAAAUACAAUUUUUUUGGGAUUUCAAAAGUAUGUCCAGUGUUUUAAAACAAAUCGUGUUUUUGGAAAAUAUUCAGGAAUUUCCAAAAAGUUCAUGUUUCUAAAAAUUUGUACAAAAUUCCAAAUAAUGUUUGUCUUUUUCAAACUUGGUUCAUAAAUUCAGGAAAAAUAAAGAAUUUGACAAAAUGUUCCCAGAUUUUAAAAAUUGUUCAGAAAUAAAAAAACAAUCUUAUUUUCUAUUGUUAUGAUAACUUUAAAAAAUAGUGUUUUUCAAUAAAUGCUUGGACAAUUAAAAUUCUGUUUGCAUUUUUAAGGACUGUUCACAAUUUCAAAAAUUGUUCACAUUUUUCAAUAAAAAUUAGAAUUACAAAAGUUUUUCACACCUUUAAAAAAAUGUUUUGAAUUUUAGAAAUGGUGUCACAUUCUUUAAAACAUUUUUUGGAAUUUUGUAGAUUGUUUUGGUUAAAAAACGUAUUUGGAAAUUCAAAUUUGUUCACAUUUUAUUUCAAGAAAAGUUUCAAUUCUUUUUAAAAAAUGUUUUCAUAUAUGAAUGCUAAUGUGUUUUCUUAUACAUGUCACGUUGUCUAUCAUGUAUGCGUGCUCGAGUGCGAGGUCCCGAAUUCAAGUCUUCGCAAGCUCCCUGGUUUCGUUAUAGAAGACUAGUGGCUUUGUGCAUUCGCAAAAUACGACGGUGUAUUCAAAAGAAAACAUGCAUUUAAAGAAUGUAUAUUAUGUAUUUAAAAAAUAUCCAAAGUAUUUUUAAAAAAGUUUCAUUUUUGUGCUAAAAAUGUACAUUGUGUACUGAGAAAAAAUAGACAUGUGUCAAAAAAACAAAACCGAUUAAAACCAGCAAAGAAAAAAAGAAAAAGAACCAAAUAAUACGAAGAAAACCAAGAAAGAAAUAAAAUAAAACCCAAAAAUAUAACAGCGGGCGGCGGACGCACGCUAAAAUCAGCCGGGUGAAACUAAUCGUUUCCCUUCAAGAAAAGCAUUUUUGGAACAUCGAUUUUUUUUCAUGAAUGCCACUUCUUGAUAUUUUUUUUGCAAGCAUAUUAAACAUUUGUCAAAAUUUACCACAAACAAAUCAAUUUAUUUAUUCAUCUUUACUAUUUUCUUUGAUUUUACUAUUUAUCAGGGAGCACUUAAGCUCGGGAGCAGAUACUCUGCGUCCACCACAACACCACUUUUCAUGUCAAACUGGUAGGUAAAUCCAUGAGCACACACCAUUUUUAUCUUCUUUUAUAAAACCGAAAGACGCCAACACUGUUUUUCAUUUGAUUACGGAGUACAAACAAUACAAGGUAGUUAAAUACAAAGACCAACGCCACCAGCAUCGUCAAAAAUAGUGGAGCAAUAACCCUCGGCCUAAAGUUGAAGGGAGGCUUUUCUUCUAACCAACAAUACACAAUGCAUCUCAAAAAAAAAAACAAUACACAAUGCAGGAAUGAUGUCCAAGGAGAACAAUGACAACCAAGAAUGGAUCUACUCGCAAACCCAGGUUUAGAAAGUACGAGCAGACCCGCCCAAAUGAUCGUAACAUAUCUAGUACAUUGCCAUCACAAUGCAUGCCAAACUCAACCCUCUCGAGCUGGCAACCACUCUGCCCCAUAUUGAACUACAAUCCACUGUGAACAUAACACCAACAUGUGGUGAGCUAACCAACUCAUGCCGAAAAACGGAGGUCUACAUCACCAACCUUCAUCUAAGAGAAGCAAUGCUUUGCUUUGAGCCUCCGUCGUCUAGUUGCCAUUGCAGCGACACCCCGAAAAUUCGCAGGCACAUAGCUAUGGGGGCACACACCUGCUCAGACGUGCCCGGACGCAUGAUUGCCUCGCGAUUCGUAAAGCCGUUGCAUUUCGCGUGAGGGCACACCAAGUUUUAAGUGAAACUUGUGAUUUUUCUCAUUCUAUGCACCAAGUUUCAGCAACUGAAACUGAACAAAGUUUUAAAAACUAGUCGAAACAUAAUCAAGAUGGGUCUUAUUUGAAAUCCCUCGUCACAAGAAACAUGAAUAUGAAAACAAAACUUAAAUUGGACUUUCGGUUCAAAAGAUACGAAAUAUAAAAUCAAAAUCCAAAAGAAAAUAGGGUUGGUGCCUCUGCUGCCCAUGCCACAAAUCCUCUCUCAACGACACCUCUCGCAUAAAAGGGGAGGGAGUAAAGCAAACCAGAUCUACUCCCUAAUACAAGUUCGAAUUGAACUUGACGGUCGUCAAACUAGACCGGCACACACAUAGUGCACCACCCAUGCAAGUACAUCAGGCGAUCCACCAUAGCUCACCAUGGCAGUAAUGAAGGAAGCUGGUAGAUCUAGGGCGGCACAACACAUUACCGCUAUGGCUGUCAUGGGUGAGCAUGCAUCCACCCGACAACCUCCUCGUUGCACUUAACAACACCCUGAGAAGCCGCACACCAUCCCAACCCAAUAGCACUUUCGGACACCAUCCCCUUAACUGAAUACAACACCCACACCAGAUCCACAAUGUGGCCAUGCCAAGCUACCCUUCGUAGGCACAACACAACCAUUGGACCUCCUAGAUCUUCUGUGCCAUUGUUGAAGCCCAUGGCUCUGCCGUAACCAAAUAUGAAGGUGGAAACUCACACAGGUGUGUUGGGAGAGAGAGGGAGACAAGGAGAAGAGAGAGAGGGUGGGGGGGGGGAGUAAGAGAAGAGAGAGACAACCGUCGCCCGCACCGUGAUCCAUCGAUGACCACACGCUUCGUCGCACCUCCACGCCACCACAACUAUGUGACACCACAUCUCCCCGCCUUCGAGCCGCCAUACCCCCAAACCAGCAGCAUGAACAACACCCCCGACGUACCUCCUUGGGAAGUGAAUCCCGCCGAGGCCGGUGGUGAGAGGAUGCAAUGCAAUGUGGUGUGGCUUAUUGUGCUAGGAGUUGACCGUCUGAGUCACCCCGAGUGUCGCCUAAGAGGAGCUACAACAAACAUUGUUGGCACGUCCCCCGCCACCACUUCUCUUCUAUCUUGAUGCACGAUCCUAAUGCUCAAUAAAUUAAGUGGUAUUUCACCGUUUGAUCCCGUGUUCACCUGAUCUUCAUCACACCAUGAAUUCCAUGUAAGGUUGGCAAUUGGGUUAUAUUCUUGAGAAAACAUGCUAACAUGUAGUGUCAAGAAAAAGAUCGGAGCAAUUUCAUACUUCAUUCAUGGGCUGAUUUUUUUAUCAACAAUUCUGUAAAAACAACUAUGCUGGAAUUUGGAGGCAUAUUGACCACUAUUAGUACACAUGGCUACAAAAAAAAAAUCACCUAGGCGAUCCCGAUGCACCAUCAAAGGCAAGCAGCUAAAAAAAGUUCCACCUUUGGCGAUCGAUCUCAAUGAACCAUCCUCAGCAAGGGCAUCUGGUGCAGCGGGCUGCUACCGAUGGCGUACUGGUACUUAACCACGUCCUCGAAGCAUCCAGCUGCGGGCAUCGUCGCCGGUGCCGCAGCCGCCUGCUCGUCAUCGACUACGUCUCUCUGCACCGCCAUAGCUUCGUCGGCCCGAUCAGCGUCGCCUUCGCGGGCGCAGCCGGGUGCCGGGAGCGGAUGGCUGGGGCAGUCGUCCUCGCGCUCGACGAGGCGCAUGAGGAGGCGGCCGCCGCGCACGCGGCGCGCUCGGACGUAGUAGUCCGGCCGCAUGACGCGCACCUUGCUGAUGACGAGCCUCCUGUCCUCGGUGCGCGCCCGGCGCAGACCGCUACGGCCCGCCAGCGACGGGAUCGGCGGCGGCAGGCGGCGCCGUCCGGGCUCCCGCCGGCCGUACGAGACCCAGCAGCCCUCGUCCUCCUCGUCGACGCCCUCCUCCGGAUCGGCCUCGCCGCGCGUCGGCGGCGACGCGGGGAUCAUCGUCCGCGUCACGACGCCCGCGGCGACGGGGUCGGGGGCGAGCAGCGAGCGGAGGCCGGCGAGGGGGGCGAACUUGUCGGCGGAGCGGGAGACGGACAGCAGCAUCGGAUAGGGAUGGGAUCGGAGGGGCGGCGGCGGUGCCGUGGCGGUGGCCGGUCGCGGCGCACGAGAGGCGGUGGGGCGAGCGGCGGGUGGGAUGGGAUGGGAUGGGAUCGGUGGAGCGCGCCCGCGCGUGGGCUAUCGGUUGCGAUCGGGGAGGGGAGGGUUGACGGGGCUUUUAUACGUGGACGUUUGCUCGCCCUCCGGGAAGGCGGGAAGUGGGAGCGGAUCGGGCACGGGAACCCCGUGACGAUCGACUCGAUCCAUCGAUCCAUCGGCUUGUGGGUCGAUCGCUUUCUUGGCCGGCCAAUCAAUAGGCCUCCCGCCCUAGUUCACUGGCUUCCCAGACCGAUGAAUGGCGCCCCGCAUGCAUGCGUGCAUGGCUAUCCGCCUAUCCGGUUAUCCUCCUAUCCAACCCUGGCCCUGGCUGGAAAUAGACCACCGUCGAGUUCGAGUUAGGCUCUAUCCCGUUCCUGACUGAUACGGAGUAAGUUUUGUUUACAAGAAGGCGGAGAAGCUCGUGCGCGUGCACAGGUGGUUGGGGCGCGAUAGAGGUGUACGUGGCGACCCGUGACCGGCCGGCCGGGGAGGCGUCGUACCGUAGGCCGGCCGGAGCUGGCUGGCUGCCGUGUGAGGCGCCGGCUGUAACAGGUGGCUCGGGAUUCACCAGCCGCGCACGGGCGAACCAAGCAACGACGACGGGAGAAUGAUCGCUCCUCGUUCGCCUUCAUCGCCGUUGAGAAAUCAUCACGAUGGGCUCAGUCCAGCAGAAACAAGCACUCGGACGGGCUCAAAUGGCUGUCUCCACCCACCCCACACUAUUUCAGCCCAGUUCGAGCAAUUCACAAGAAGCCAUGUCUCCUUGGGUACAAUAAUACCAUGCUUUUAAACGAUAAUGUGAUAUCAACUUUGCAAUAAGUUUUUUUCAUGCAAAACAAAAUAAAAACUUCACAUUAAGUUGGGGCACCUAUUCUUCUGCGAUUUUGAAGGCGUAGAUAUUUAUAUUUAAAAAUUUAAGUCAAGGCUGAUUAGUUUCAUCUCAGUGUUGUGACAAUCGAUUGUCGACGUUCACUGGACACCAUGUCAGACAUGUGUUUUCUCCUUGGCCAGCCAGUCUGUGUUCCAUAGAAGAACCGCUAGCAGCCUGACACAGGGCCAAAAUUAAAGCCCGACUUGCAUUAGGCAGUGUUCAAUUCAAUUUUAUCCAUUUGUUUUCCUGUGUUUGUUACAAGUUUUGUUGAGUUUUUGUGAUAUGUUAGAUAUUAGCAUUACCUAUAUCAUGUAUUGUUUUCAUAUUUUUUGAAACUUCCGAAAGCCUCAACAUGUGUUGGGCACAAUGGGUCAAUGGUGGCACCACGAGGGCGAGUGCACCAGAUACUUUCCUCUCACUGGUUAUAUUCAACAUAGAUUGUCAAAUGGGACAAAAAUAUCAAAUACUAACUGGGGUGCAAAGUGGUCAAAACAUUCAGACUACAUGCUUUCAGUUUUAGUCAUUUGUGGACAUUAGAUCAUCUCAAACAGUAAUAAACCCUAGAACAGAGCCUCCUACUUCUUCAGCCCUUACAAUUUCGGAAUUUAUAACGGGCGAACGUCAGAUAUUUGACCCUUUCCAGUGAACGCCGUGUUUGCCGUCAGAUCGGCUGCACGAAUCUUGAAGCAAGGGAACUAGUUGCGUCAGUUUUCUCUUUUGUUCACUAAAUAUUGCAUGAGCGCGAACGAGCAGAGAUGACGAGGCCGCGGCCUUAUCCCCCUUGUCUUCUCCCAUUUCCAUUCACGAGCAGCGAGCUGAGUGAGAGAGAGGCGAGCGGCCGAGGUGCUCGUCGCGGAGGUCAUCAUCUUCCUUCGUGCGUUGACGGAGGUGGCGCUCGGCGGCGAGCUCGCGUAGGAAGCGACCAUGUUGGGCUCACGGAAGACCUCAAACAGCCACGCCCCUCUCUCUCGCCGGCGAGCUGCACGGAAGGACGUCUAGGUUGUGCUGGGGGCUGCACGAGCUUGCGAUGAUGGGUCGCGCCCCGUUCCUCUCACCAACUUGCGUUCCUGAUGCGAGCAGACCUCAAGCAGCCGCGCCAUGCUCCAAUGUGGUGGUCAUGGAUGUGCGGGGCCGCGCUUGUGGCUAGCGAGGGCAAAAUUUGGUGUUUUGACCCUUUUGGCAUAGUUGAGCCAAAUCUGACCUUUGUUCAAAACUUUUUUGAGAUCUGAUCAUUUUUCCUACCACCAUAGUCCUUGGCGGUAGAGUUACACAACCUACCGCCGAGGUUAAUGGCGGUAGGACUUAACUGCACCAUGACAUCCAUUUAAAAAAAAUACCCUGCCGCCAGUGCCUUUGGCGGUAGGUUGUGUUAUCCUACCACCAAUGUGUGCGGGCGGUAGGAGAGACAAUUUUCCUCUGUGCAUCUGACCACGCUCCACGCCUAUUCCAUGCAUGCAGCCAAGCAUCAACACGGGCCAUCACAAUAGCGUCUGCAGUGCAAUCAUGCAUGCAUAUAGUCGAUCGAAUUCACUGUUUUGACCCUUCUUGAAUACUUUACCACAAUCUGACUUUAUUUAAAAAAAAAAUCAUGAUCUGACCCUUUUUCUACCAUUAUCGUCUUUGACGGUAGGGUAAUACAGCCUAUCGCCAAGGGCUACUGCGGUAAGACUUGACGGUGCGUCACGGUCAUUCGACGAUGAAAAUACCCUAGCGCCAUAGUCUUUGGCGAUAGGGUACCGAAGGUAUAAAGUACGUGUGGCGCCCAGUAGUACUGAACGUGUGUGCUGGAAGGUUGGCUAGCUCGUGCGUGUUUGCUUUGGUAAUGUCGUGCUGAUCAUGCAUGUUAGUGGACCGGUAGAUCGUGUGGCCUUGGAGUGGAGGCUGCUAUAUGGACGGAUAUUCAAGACAAUUAUCAUUCUUGCCGAGCAGAGCAAUGCAUAUGUUGCUGUUUACCGGUGCACUCUGUCACACGCAUACAAGUGAGUGCUUGUUACCCCCAAAUAACUUUUCUUUUACUUGCAUUUAUAGAUAUUCUCCAAAACACAGUCACCACUUACAGUGUUGAACCUAGUGCCACUUAAAAUGAAUGAUUUGUAAUAGUCUAAUAGAUGAUGUUCCUAUAUUAAGUUAUUAGCUUGGGUUCUUUGCGAAAAUACAAAGGUGAACAUGGGUACGCGCGCACCCACGUGAAUAGCAAAUUCAUAAAAAAUACUAGAAAAAAAUAAAGAAAUUCUGAAAUUUCGUGGUAUGAAACUUAGUCGAUUAUUCUACUCACUUGUAAAGUUUCAUGAUGUAUUGACACCCAUGGUAUUCUUAAUGAAGAAAAUACAAAUACAACCAUACUAUUUAGUAAACAAGUGUUUUUUAAUAUUGCUUCAAUUUUGUCUUUUUGCCAAGAUUACCACGGAUGUGAUUACUUCGUGAAACAUCAUAUGUGAGUAUACCGGUUGACUUUGUAUAUUACAAAAAUAAAUUCAGAUUUUUUCAAUGUUUUCAAGCAUUUGUUUGAAUUUACUAUUUAUAAGGGGUGCGCACGCAUCCAUGUUCACCAAAUCCGUGUCCGGUUCUUUGCAAAUACACACAUUUUUGCUCAGUUAACUAUGGUAUGCUCUUACAGUCCCCUCAACCAAAGGGUUGCAUGACGAACCAGGUAUGCAGUAGAUAUUUGCUUUAAUUAUUAGAAUUAUUGACAACCAUAGAUGGUGCCAUCCACAACAUCCUAUUUUUUUCAUUCUUGGCAUCUGUUAGCCUAUUUAUACCUAUGAGACGACUAAAGUUAGGUCUGGUUACUAAAGCAAAUCAAAUGCAACAGAAAAUCCCCAUUUUCCGUUUUCAAGUUCAACUACUGGGCAUAAAAGAUACCGAUGAGCUUUAUAUCAUCGUGAUAUUUUCAUCAUUAUAACUAGUCGGGAGAUAUGGCAUUAUAUUGACUUCGCUUUCCUUCUAGACGCUCUUUUAAUUCUAUCUUGAUAUAUGUACAGUAUCACCUUACGUGAAUUCUGCUAAUCAUAUGAACAUCAUUUUGCAAUUUGUCAUUAGGUAUUUGGAAGAUAUGGUGGUGCAGAUGGAUUUCUCUUCCUGCAAUACCACAUGAUUCUUAACUACUCGAACCUUCCGCAAGCCGACAAGUAAAAACUUUGGAUAACUAAGUAAAAAAAUGUUUUACCAAUAAUACACUUACAAAUAAGUAAAAAUAAUGUUUUUACCAACAAUCCAUAUCCUAAGAUUAAUUGGACACAUUAUUUAUUUUACAGUUACAAAUAAGUAAAAAUAAUGUUUUUACCAACAAAUAAGUAAAAAUAUGACCUUAUGAAGGCUUGAACCCAAGACUGACCAAAGCUAACCCUUCGCUACCCUACCGUCAAAGACUAUGGUGAUAGGGUAUUUUCAACAUUGAAUGACUGUGACGGCGCACCGUCAAGUCCUACCGCCAUAGCCCUCGGCGGUAGGCUGUGUUACCCUACCGCCAAAGACGAUGACGGUAGGAAAAGGGUCAGAUCACGAAAAAAAUUUAAACUAGGGUCAAAUCGUGCUAAAGUUUUCAAAAAUGGUCAAAAGAGUGAAUUCAGCUUAUAUAGUCCAUGUUCAUCCUUUUGAUUUGACAAGUGCUAGUAAAAGCAUGCAUGUGCUACCUAGUUCUAUGCACGCAUGCAUGCUUCCUGGAUGUGUGACUUGUUUAAUAUCUCAUUGUUGGCUGCACGCAUGUCAUGGCGUGUGGGCGUGUGCCCAAAACCGCAGAGAAAAAGAGCCUCGCCUAUCGCCGCUCAUUCGUGUCUAUCGCCAGACGCUUUGGCGGUAGGAUAUUUUUAAUGCUAAACAGAAAUCACGGCGUCGUCAAGUCUUACCGCCAAGAUCCCUGGCGGUAGGCUAUUAUAUCCUACCGCCAGACACUAUGGCGGUAGGAAAAGGGUAUUUUUUUUUUCAAACCAGGGUUAGAUCUGGCUUAAUUUUUACAAAAGGGUCAAAACACCAAAUUUAGCCGCUAGCGGGUGCGUCGGCGACCGUGCUCGCCGAAGGGCUCAUCCCGCAUCGAGGGAUGGCAGCAGGACAGACAGCAUGGUGGAUGAUUAGUGUCUGACAGGGCAGUGGGUUACGGUCGGUCGUCCUCGGCCCAUUCAUGAGGGUGCGUCUAGAUGGCCAUGUGUCCCGACAACAGCGAUGUGCGAGAGAUUGAGGUUGCGGAAGCACCGGAGGAAUUGCUGGUGCAGUGAAGCGCCGACCACAUGUCCACUAGGGCUUCCCCUGUCCUACCCACAGUGAGACGCCGACCUCAUGCACCUUUUUGCUGCUAUUGAUGCAUAUUGGAAUUCACCCCAAAUCUUACUGUUUCUUUUUCAUGGAUCUAUUUUGUGCCACUGUUAUCAGUGGAUGGAUUUGAGAACAACAGGUUAAUAAUUGAAGCUAAGACCUGGAAAAUUUCAUAUCUCAGUUUCUAACACUCAACAUGGCAUUUUCAGAGGCUACACAUGGCAACUUAAGAACUGAUUGUUAUUUUUACUCUAUUGCGAUUUCUUUAUUCCUGGCAAUUUGGAAUGUGAAUGAACAUGUUGUAUAGUGGUGACAUGGCAAUUUCCUUAUCCUGGCAUUUUUUUGGAAUGUGAAUGAGCAUGAUGUAUAGUGGUGACAUGGCAUUUUGGAAUACACAUCUUUAAACUAUGACAUUUUUAGAAAAUUUUAGUUGAUUCACAAGAUAUAUUUUUUGAAACUUUUUGUAUCCUAAAUUUCCAAGUUCUGACAUGACGAUUUUGCUAGAAUUUAACAUUUUGAAAUGUUUGUAUAAGAACGGAGAAACUGCUAGAAUUUUAUUAUAGAUCCCCAUGGCAAUAUAACAAUGUGUACGAAGGAAAUUUAACAUGUGUCCCCAUGGAAAAUCCUUUUUGUUACAUAUCAUGGUAAUUUUGGGGUAGAUGGAGAGGUGGAGGGUGAAAUGCAUGGCAAUUCUUUUUGUAUAUAGCAUCUCAAAUUAACAUUUAGGCUGCCAAUUUAUUUGUACCCAUGGCUAAUUCCUAAUUUUGCCAUCCUUUUCAAAGUACAAAUCAUCUAAAUUUUGAUACAUUUGCCAUCGGUUUUGUUUAAAGAACAAAUCUAAUAAAUUUUCCAUGUGCCCUUUUACAAAUUUCAGAAACUUGUCAUGUUAUUUAUAGAACACAAUCCAUAAUUUUAGCAAUGUGGCCACAUAAAUUUGCCAAUUUUUUUCCAAAGAAACAAAUCCCUAAUUUUGCUUUGCGCCUAUUACAUUUUUUUGCCAAAAGUCGCCAUGUGUUUUUUAGAGAACAAAUUCCUAAAUUUUCCAUGCCUUUUUUUGUCAUAGGUAGCAUUAAAAUUUUAUUAUUCAGACCAUGGCAAAUUUAUUUAUAAGCCAUGGUAGUUUUAUCAUAUGUAGCAUGAUAAUUUUAUCUAUUCAUACCAUGGCAAUUUAUUAAUUAGACCAUGACAAAUUUUGGAAUUCCUAUUUCCCAUCUUGUCAAAGAAGAAAAAUUCCUAUAAUUGCAUUGUCCCCAUUUAAAAUAUUCCAAUAGUUGCCAUGCCUCUUAAAGAAUAUACUUCCUAAUUUUUUGCCUUGUUAUUGGUAACAUGGCAAAAAAAACACCAUGACAGAUUUAUUAAUUGGUCCAUUGUAAAUUUUGGAAGUCUUAUUUUUGACCAUUUUACUAAUUAGACCAUGUGCAAUUUUAUUAUAGGUUCCAUGGCAAUUUAACUUAUUAGACCAUCGCCAUUUUUAAUUAAAUCAUGGUUGUUUUAUUUUGUAGCUACCAUGACAAUUUAUUUAAUUAGGUCAUGAUAAAUUUAUUACAUAUACCAUGGCAAAUACUCCCUCCGUAAAGAAAUAUAGGAGCGUUUAGAUCAUUACAUUAGUUAUCUAAAUGCUCUUAUAUUUCUUUACAGAGGUAGUACUUUUUAAACUUUAUCAUGGCAAAUGUUUUGUAUACAAGAUGGCACAUUUAUUGACCAUUACAUGGCAAUUUGUUUUGUAUGCUCCAUGGCAAUUUUCAUAUUACAUAUAGUCGGAAUAUUUCUAUCGUGUCAUGGCAAAUUUCUCUAUGUUUUUUCAUAUAUUUUUAUUCGUGUAUAUGUAAUAUUGAAACAGGACAUUUUUAGGCAUGUGAUCUUUGUUUACAAAUGCUAUAAUUUUGCCAUGUCAUCAAUAAUUUCCCCCCUGCAUUUUUUCCAUGUUACCAUUUUAUAGAGAUCUGUUCAACACCUUUUUGUGCUCGUCAUGUAACUUUCACAAAGGUUCUAGCAACUUGCCAUGCUUUUAUACAAAACAAAAAUAUUUAGUUUAACUUUCGCAUGAUUUUCUUGUACAACACCGUGGCAGUUUUGUGUCCAUGAUGGUAAGAAUUAUUUUUUUUGUUUCUACUGAUUUUUGGCGCCUGAACUGCUUCUGUUUUUUCUUCACAGAAAGGAAAUNNNNNNNNNNNNNNNNNNNNNNNNNNNNNNNNNNNNNNNNNNNNNNNNNNNNNNNNNNNNNNNNNNNNNNNNNNNNNNNNNNNNNNNNNNNNNNNNNNNNNNNNNNNNNNNNNNNNNNNNNNNNNNNNNNNNNNNNNNNNNNNNNNNNNNNNNNNNNNNNNNNNNNNNNNNNNNNNNNNNNNNNNNNNNNNNNNNNNNNNNNNNNNNNNNNNNNNNNNNNNNNNNNNNNNNNNNNNNNNNNNNNNNNNNNNNNNNNNNNNNNNNNNNNNNNNNNNNNNNNNNNNNNNNNNNNNNNNNNNGCGCAAAACAGUUUUUACGGGCCCGCGCGGGCUGACACAGAUGCAGACCCCUCCAAACGGAUCUGUAAAAAAUUAUAUUCGCGGAAUAUGCUUUUUUACGGGUCGGCUAUGCGAGUUCUGCUCUUUGCGCCGCUACAUCCCCGCAAAUCAUCAGCCCGCAAAUCUCAAAUCCAACAUAAUUCAACAAUCGAAAACAAACUGAAUUAUUCAAAUCAAACAUAAAACAAUAACCAUCCACAUUAUAAAUAAUUAUUCAAAUCACCGUAGCAAACUUAAAAUAAUGCAAUACAAAAUUUGUCAUGAAUACAAAUACAAACGAAUACAAAAAUUAGUCACUGUCCAGCCCUUUGCUAAUGGUGCUCAAUGAGAUCUUCCUGAAGUUGAAAGUGUGUGUCUGCAUUUUCAAUCUCCUUGUAUGUCUGAAGAAAAGCUCUAAUGCGGUUUGGGUCUGUAGCUGGUUUGACACGGCUACCCACAUUAUCGUAAAAGAAUUCUAAGUCCAUUUCUCUCUCAUCUUCAAGAAUCAUAUUGUGUAGGAUAACACAGCAAGUCAUGAUAUUGUUCAGGGUUUUCUUAUCCCAAAAACGAGCAUGACCUCGGACAAUAGCAAACCUAGAUUGCAAAACACCGAAUGCUCUUUCAAUGUCUUUUCGGGCUACCUCUUGCACCCUUGCAAAUUCACAUUGUUUUUUUUGUUUUGGGUUCUUUGAUGCUCUUGACAAAUGUGCACCAAGGAGGAUAUAUACCAUCUGCAAGAUAGUACCCCUUUGUGUAUUCAUGCCCAUUGAUAAUGUAGUUGCAAGCAGGAGCAUCACCACAAGCAAGCCUAGCAAACAAAUGAGAGCGUUGCAACACAUUGAUAUCAUUGAGUGUGCCGGGCAUACCAAAAAAGUAAUGCCAAAUCCAUAAAUCCUCCGAUGCUACGGCCUCUAGCACAAUUGUUGCAUCACGAGACUUGCCACAAAUACAUUCCUUGCCAUGCCUUGGGGCAAUUUUUCCAAUUCCAAUGCAACAAUCGAUGCUACCUAGCAUCCCAGGCCAACCUCUCCUCUCAUUAGUUGUGACAUCCGGAUAAUUAAGCUACAGUAACUUUCUACUAAUGAUGCCACGUCACCUCGAUUACUGUUGCUAAUCUCGCGUUAGUUCAGAACCGAUCCAAAUUCCACUUUAAUUAAAGUCAACCGAUAAAGUUUUCAAACAUUAAAACUAAAAUGUUCUAGAGGUGGAAAAUAAUUCAUAAUAAAUAUUGGAGGAGAAACCACAUUUUUAUAAUGUGUUUGCGUGUUCCAAAAUUAAUAAAACAUUGAUUUAAAUGUUUAGUUAAAUGCCUUUUUAUUAUUUUGAAAUACUAAACUAUUCUAUUUAGUAGUCAAACUUGUUAUUGCAGAGGCUUAUAUUACAACACUAAUUUAGGUGCCAAUUGUGUAUUUUACAAAACAAAAAUGAAUUGAACAAUAAAUAAAAUAGAGAAGAAAAUAAGUAAAAUAGGAAGCAAAAACUAAAAUAAAAAUAAAGGCCACCCCCUCUCACUCAUGGGCCUCAGCCCACCAGGCCACCACCUAGGCCGGCCCCACAGCCGAGCUCGCUCCCCCCCUUAACCCCCACUACCUCGAACCCUAACCCAAGUGCGCCCCACUCCCCCCCACGUCGCUCGAUCCCCACCCUCUCCCUCCAGUACCACCAGGGGAGAGCCCCACGCACGAACCCCCACUCUCUCUCGUCUCUCUCCCAGCUACGCUCGCCCUCGACGCCAUUGCCGAACCGCCCCACCUCACACCGGCGCUCCACCGCCACACCAGCGCCGCCCCGUCCUCACCUCCUCCCGACUGGCGCCCAGCGCUCGGCGCCCCCACCCCAUCGCCGCUGCCACCGGAUCGCCCACCACCUCGUCGCACCGCCUCCAAGCCGGAUCGCCCCGUCCUCGACCUCUUCCUCGACGGAUCUGCGUCGUCGACCCGUCGUCCGACCCCGACUCCUCCCCGAGCAUGCCUCGCUCAACUACAGGGCUUUGUGAGCCCCCUCCCCUUCUUCUCUCUGCCUCCCUCACCCGCUCGCUAAUUCGUCGUGGCCGCGCCGUGCUCGCGGACACUGCCGCCCGCGCCUCGCUGCUCGUAGUGGCCGCCAGCUCCCGCGCCAUGCGCCCCUCCCCUGUGCUCCACUACUUCCCGCCGACCCCCCUUCACUGCCCUGCACCACCACAAUCGCGUCGCGCGCACGCCGCGGCUCGCCGUCGCACCAUCACUUGUGCGCCUCNNNNNNNNNNNNNNNNNNNNNNNNNNNNNNNNNNNNNNNNNNNNNNNNNNNNNNNNNNNNNNNNNNNNNNNNNNNNNNNNNNNNNNNNNNNNNNNNNNNNNNNNNNNNNNNNNNNNNNNNNNNNNNNNNNNNNNNNNNNNNNNNNNNNNNNNNNNNNNNNNNNNNNNNNNNNNNNNNNNNNNNNNNNNNNNNNNNNNNNNNNNNNNNNNNNNNNNNNNNNNNNNNNNNNNNNNNNNNNNNNNNNNNNNNNNNNNNNNNNNNNNNNNNNNNNNNNNCGUGCACGCGCUCGUCGCCUGCCCCGCUCUGCCGCUUCUACAGUCGUCGGCGCCCGCCGCUCCCUCCAGCUGCGGCCGCCCUGCCAACACGCGCCCGGGUCCGGCGACCCAGUGCCCCCAGCCCCGCUCGAGCGUCCCCGCCGUUGCUUCCACGCCCGUAAGGCCCCCAAGGACUAUGACACGGGGCCCCACCCCAGAACGAAUUUAAAAAAAGAAAGGAAAAAAAUGAAUGUAAAAAAAUAAAUAAUUAAUAAUUAAAUUAAAUUAAUUAAUUAAUUAAGUUAAUCAAUCCUACUUAAUUAAACUAAUUAAACCUGAUUAGAUUAACCUAACCAUUAACUAAACAGCCAAUGACAUGUGGGCCCCAACCGCAGUUGACCCAGUCAACUGCACAAUUGACUGCUGACAUCAGCAUGAUGUCAUGCUGACGUCAUCAUUUACUAUUGUGGAUAAUGUUGAUUUAAAAUAAUUAAAAUUUUAGAAAGUUAAUAUAAAAUAAACCGUAGCUCGGAUGGAUAAACUUUGUACAUGAAAGUUGCUCAGAACGACGAGACGAAUCCGGAUUCGCAGCCCGUUCGUCCGCCACGCAUCCCUAGAAUAGCGAACACGCAACUUUCCCCCUCCGGUUCAUCUGUCUGAAAACGCAAAACAUCGGGAAUACUUUCCCGGAUGUUUCCCCCUUCACCGGUACCACCUCGUACCGCGUUAGUGGCACACCUAGCAUCACGCCUUGUCAUGUCAUGCAUUUGUUUGCGAUAUAUUUAUUGUUUCUUCCCCCUCUUCUCUCGCUAGACACCGAGACCGACGCCGCUGCUACCUAGUACGACUACGGUGUUGACAACCCCUCUCUCUUGCCAGAGCAACCAGCAAGCCCCCCCUAAUCACCAUAUAUCGCCUACUCUCCUCUAUACUGCUUGCAUUAGACUAGUGUAGCAUGUUACUGCUUUUCGUUAAUCCUAUUCUGAUGCAUAGCAUGUCCUUGCUACUACUGUUGUUACCUUUACCUGCAAUCCUAAUGCUUAGUAUAGGAUGCUAGUUUAUCAUCAGUGGCCAUACAUUCUUGUCCGUCUGCCAUGCUAUAUUAUAGGGCCGUGAUCACUCGGGAGGUGAUCACGGGUAUAUACUAUAUACUUUAUACAUGAUACAUGUGGUGACUAAAGACGGGUCGGCUUGUGGAGCACCCGCGAGUGAUUCACGGAUUGGGGGCUGAAAGGACCUUUGUCCCAACGGCCCUCUGUGUGGAUCUUUGUGGCGAAGCGACAGGGCAGGUUGAGACCACCUAGGAGAGAGGUGGGCCUAGCCCUGGUCGGCGUUCGCGGUUAUUUCAAAAUAACACGCUUAACGAGAUCUUGGUAUUUGAUCUGAGUCUGGCCACUGGCCUAUACGCACUAACCAUCUACGCGGGGACAGUUAUGGGCACUCGACGUCGUGGUAUCAGCCGAAGCCUUCAUGACGUCAGCGACUGAGUGGCGCGCGCCGGAUUGGACCGUAAGCCUGCUCUUGUAUUAAGGGGGCUAGUUCUGCUUCUGGCCGCGUUCGCAACGUGCAGGUGUGCAAAGGGCGAUGGGCCCAGACCCCUGCGCCAUAGGAUUUAGACCGGCAUGCUGACCUCUCUGUUGUGCCUAGGUAGGGCUGCGACGUGUUGAUCUUCCAAGGCCGGGCAUGACCCAGAAAAGUGUGUCCGGCCAAAUGGGAUCGAGCGUGUUGGGUUAUGUGGUGCACCCCUGCAGGGAAGUUAAUCUAUUCGAAUAGUCGUGAUCUUCGGUAACAGGACGACUUGGAGUUGUACCUUGACCUUAUGACAACUAGAAUUGGAUACUUAAUAAAACACACCCUUCCAAGUGCCAGAUACAACUGGUGGUCGCUCUCUCACAGGGCGACGAGGGGAGGAUCAUCGGUUAGGGUUAUGCUAUGCGAUGCUACUUGGAGGACUUCAGUCUACUCUCUUCUACAUGCUGCAAGACGGAGGCUGCCAGAAGCAUAGUCUUCAACAGGAUUAGCUAUCCCCCUCUUAUUCUGGCAUUCUGCAGUUCAGUCCACCGAUAUGGCCUUUACACAUAUACCCAUGCAUAUGUAGUGUAGCUCCUUGCUUGCGAGUACUUUGGAUGAGUACUCACGGUUGCUUCUCCUUCUUUUCCUUCUAUCCAUUCUACCUGGUUGUCGCAACCAGAUGUUGGAGCCCAGGAUCCAGACGCCACCGUCGACGACGACUCCUACUACACCGGAGGUGCCUACUACUACGUGCUGCCCGCUGACGACGACCAGGAGUAGUUAGGAGGAUCCCAGGCAGGAGGCCUGCGCCUCUUCCGAUCUGUAUCCCAGUUUGCGCUAGCCUUCUUAAGGCAAACUUGUUUAACUUAUGUCUGUACUCAGAUAUUGUUGCUUCCGCUGACUCGUCUAUGAUCGAGCUCUUGUAUUCGAGCCCUCGAGGCCCCUGGCUUGUAAUAUGAUGCUUGUAUGACUUAUUUUAUUUGUAGAGUUGUGUUGUGAUAUCUUCCCGUGAGUCCCUGAUCUUGAUCGUACACGUUUGCAUGUAUGUUUAGUGUAUGGUCAAAUCGGGGGCGUCACAAGUUGGUAUCAGAGCCGACUGCCUGUAGGAAUCCCUCUUCCACACUCCUUGGCCGAAGUUGAGUCUAGACAUUACAAAAACUUUUACUAACAUGGCUGUGUGCCUUACGGGCCCACAUCGCCAUCUGGGUGGUAUUAGGCUCUUUUACUCCUCGAUCCUUACUCUGGGACUCUGAACUCUCUCCUAUUCGGGUUUAAUGAAUUUACUAAAAAUCUAACUUAGGUUCUCGAAAAUACUUUCUCCGGGAGAGCCCGUUUAGUCCAGAUGAUCGCCGGCUGCACUAGAAGAUUUCGAAGAUACUCUCCGAUAUUCUGUCGAGACCUUGUGCGUGUUGCUUUUGCAAUUCCCUUCUAUCGAUAAACCUCUAUGGAUAACCACGUACACGUGCCAUUCAUAUAAUCAUUCCUCAUUGAUCUUGUUAUUACAAGAUGCCCCAAAAUACUCUCUAUUGUUCUAAGAAUACUUUGUGCCUACUGCCUUGCAUUUCUUUGCCACAUGAAUACCACUAUGGGUAAUUUCUAGCACUCACCGGAUAUUUGCUCAUCCCCAGUUGGUUCAUGUAUUUCACAAAAGUCUUCAAAAUACUAUUUGAACUUCCGAAAAUCCUGAGUAGCCUAUUACUCUUGAAGUUCUUACUUGCUUGCAUUAUGGUUAAUCCCAUAAGUCUAUAAUUUUAUUGGCAUCCCUUGUCAUUAUCAUUUUGAGUCCGUUGAUUCAAAAUGUUGUGAAUGCUCGCCAUCCUCAAUCAGAUCCAAUGAUCCAUCCUUCCGGCUCACACGUCAUUUUAAACAUGAGCUGGUUAUCGACCAAUCAAAUUGUCGUCGAUUGUACCGCUAAGUCUAUUCAACUGAUCCAUUCUUAAUGCGAGCGUUGGCUUUUGAUCCCUUGAUUUGGAAAUGCUAAUCUGAUGCCCUUUCAUUCCAUCUUCCUCAGAUAGAGUACCGAUACUCGCAUCAGCUCCAUUGUAGACCAUAGGACCCCUUGUUGGAUUAUUAUCCGGCAGUGUCCUUCCUAUUCAAUAACCUUGUGAGCCUCUCCAUGGGUAUGUGAUACCUUUGGUAAAUUGUAUCCUCUGUUUUGCUAACCAUGCUCUACUUUCGAGCUUGUGAUAUUUACUCUUGAAACUUGUGGUAUAUGUUUCUAAGAAACCCCGAUGGGUUGAACCUAUACAACCUUCUCUAAAACCGUGUGAACUUGAAAGUUUUCAUGAGUCAUACACUUCUGUUAUUUUGCCAGAUGAAAUUUCAACACUACGACUUCUUCGAAAGUGAGAAGUGGAUGAAAGGCUAUGCAUUGGAGAAGUGGGAGUCGACCUUGAACUUUGUGUUCAUGCCCAUGGACACGAUGUAGAUCUUAUCGUUAAAGCUUCUCUUAGAUUAAAUUAUUCCUUUGGUAUAAGUUCAUCUUAUAUCUGGGAUCUGACCUUUUUCAAUCGUGGUUCCGACCAUGUUCUCCUUUAAAUACCGUUUCGCGUGCAAGUUUAAGCGCUUGUCUUCUGUAGAGCAAUACCCCAAUCCAACCUCUACUUUGAUCUGUCAUCAAGUAUUACCCCCUCUGGUAUCUCGAGAUUAUCACGAAACUGCAUAACUUCUUAUGAGUUCUUCUUCAAGUAUUAUUUGACUUCCGCUGCAUCAUCAUUUGACUUGAUGUCAUCGCCAACCGACUACAUCUUCAUGAAAUCUCUCGACAAAUGUGUCGUGGUCAUCAUCAACAUCCUGAGCUCUUCCAAGAUAUAUAUCAAAUUCUUGAUGAGAAAUAGCAUCCUCGCCCCUCAAUGGUUUGUGUUAUCACCGACCACUUUAUUGCCUUCCGUUCAACACAAACUUAUUCGUGUUUUGUGUUAUACCUUGAGAUCCUUGCUAUCCAGCAUUUGUUCUUCUUUACCUUGCAAUGUUACCACCUUUUAUGUCAAGAAUGUCGUGGUAAUUUUACCAUCUCUUGAGAAUUCUUGAUAUAGUAAUAUCUCCCGCCUUUUGCAUUCAUUUCUUGGUUUCCGUGUUGUUUCUAACCGGAAUACCGACAAAUGGUCUGUGAUGUGUAAAUUCUAAACUUCUAGCAACCCUAUUGUUUGGAAGUUAUUGGUCUACAGUUUCAUUCUAAGUCUAUUGCUUAUUGAAUCAUCAUUCAAACAUUGAUCGUGCUACCUAGUCCAGAUUCCUGGGUGCACCCUUCUAUCAUUGUUCAGUUGUGUAUGUUUCCCUCGAGCAUACAUCAUUAUAUCAUUUGAUCCGACAAAUGAUAUUUCCUUGUUCACAUAAUUGUGGAAAUCAAUCCUUUGGAAAUCUCGAUGAUUUGUUGCUGAGCGUAUCAGCCACCUCCUCAUCCUCUCCUUGGUUUACUGAUGAACUCUUGUUUCAGAGCUCACUUCCAUAGAUCAUUUCUGAGAAUCUCACAAUGUCAUCUCGUCAAAUUGUGUUGCACCUUUUCUUCUCAGGUAUCCUGAAAUCUGAGUUAUCCUAACACCAUUCAGAUCUGAAUCUCAGUCAGAUAUGAUGGUUGGAACAUAUUUCCAAGAGUUAUAACAUUGGUCUUUAUGUGACCCAGUAAGGUGAUGUUGUGCCUAGCACACCUGCCCCGAGGCCCUAUUGUUAUAAUUUCCUUUUUGGCAAGGUUAGUCAUUCUUCCGUGAGGAAAUCGUAAGACUUAUUCUAUAAGUUGUUCCUGAUGGAUCCAUUGUGUUUCCAAAGUCUGAUCUUCACCUGAUGACCAUGUCAAUGCUAUCUCGUAGCAUGUCUAUGAGACUCCGAUUCUCAACAAGAACAUUUGAAGCCCAAUGCUAAAUGUUUCCUGCUCAGUUAUCCAAACACCGUUGUAUGUGUAAUGUCAUGAAAUUUCUCUCCCCUUACUUAAAGGGUUUUCUGCUUUCUAUCAUGUCAUGGAUAUCAUGCUCUGCUUGUCCUUGGGAAAGAUAUACCCCUGGAAUAUGUGUUUAAACAUAUUUUCAUUUCCAUUGUUCUGAUUAAACCUGAUAAUCAUAUUUUCCUUUCCAUUGUUUGGUUUAACCUUUCUUGUGAUCUAUAUGAUCUAAGCAGUAAUAUUCUCCUCCUUUUGUAAACACCUCGGUGUACAAUUCUGUCAGAAAGACCCUGUUACUUUUGUUGAUGACAUUCCGGUAACCACCGAUGGAUGAUAACUCUGCCUACUGGUCCGCCUCGUUCAACGAGCAGGAAAAUGGUUCUCUUCGUCCCUCGCCCUUGGUACCGACAUUGUUGCCGACAUAAUUGAUAGGCUACCCUCUGACAUGUCUUGCUAUCAUGACCGUGCAAGAUGUCAACGCCCUUCCUACUUUUAACCACAUGGUGGGCCCAUAACCCACAGUUCCACAGGAUCAAAACCUGACACUCCUGUACACCCCUGCUCCCAAAGUUAUUCCUCCCGCGUGGCCUCGUAUGUAAUUCACGAGCCACCUUCCGAUGAGAUCAUCAAUACUGGUAUUAGACACAACACUUAACUCCAUUACUCUGAACCCCUUCACGUCCUGUUUCAGGCAUCGAACGAUUGCCUAUGCACUUGAAACUUCUACUUUGCACCUUCUUACUUUGCUCUCGAUAAUUUCUUAAGUUUCAAUUCGAGAGUUACUUUUCGCCACGUUCCCUAAGGAUUAUCUACCGGAUAAGCAACCAUGCAGAGUUCCAUUCUUAUGGUAUACCCCCUUAUUCUUUCGUAAGUACAAUGGAGUUUCCAAAGAUAGGAUGCCAACUUCAUCAUGAGAACCUGAAGCAGAGGAAUGAAGACAUCAAGGUUAUGGAUCGGCUUCUUCGAGAAGAGCAACCAAGACCGAGAACACUCGCUAGAAAUUCGUAACCAGAACCUUCUCCCUUACUCCCCUCUUAAAUCUCGGGACGAGAUUUCUUGUAGUGGAGGAGAAUUGUGACGCCCGGAUAAUUAAGCUACAGUAACUUUCUACUAAUGAUGCCACGUCACCUCGAUUAUUGUUGCUAAUCUCGCGUUAGUUCAGAACCGAUCCAAAUUCCACUUUAAAUUAAAGUCAACCGAUAAAGUUUUCAAACAUUAAAACUAAAAUGUUCUAGAGGUGGAAAAUAAUCCAUAAUAAAUAUUGGAGGAGAAACCACAUUUUUAUAAUGUGUUUGCGUGUUCCAAAAUUAAUAAAACAUUGAUUUAAAUGUUUAGUUAAAUGCCUUUUUAUUAUUUUGAAAUGCUAAACUAUUCUAUUUAGUAGUCAAACUUGUUAUUGCAGAGGCUUAUAUUCAACACUAAUUUAGGUGCCAAUUGUGAAUUUUACAAAACAAAAAUGAAUUGAACAAUAAAUAAAAUAGAGAAGAAAAUAAGUAAAACAGGAAGCAAAAACUAAAAUAAAAAUAAAGGCCACCCCCUCUCACUCAUGGGCCUCAGCCCACCAGGCCACCACCUAGGCCGGCCCCACAGCCCAGCUCGCUCCCCCCCUUAACCCCCACUACCUCGAACCCUAACCCAAGUGCGCCCCACUCCCCCCAUGUCGCUCGAUCCCCACCCUCUCCCUCCAGCGCCGCCAGGGGAGAGCCCCACGCACGAACCCCACUCUCUCUCGUCUCUCUCCCAGCUACGCUCGCCCUCGACGCCAUUGCCGAAUCGCCCCACCUCACACCGGCGCUCCACCGCCACACCAGCGCUGCCCCGUCCUCACCUCCUCCCGACUGGCGCCCAGCACUCGGCGCCCCCACCCCAUCGCCGCUGCCACCGGAUCGCCCACCACCUCGUCGCACCGCCUCCAGGCCGGAUCGCCCCGUCCUCGACCUCCUCCUCGAUGGAUCUGCGUCGUCGACCCGUCGUUCGACCCCGACUCCUCCCCGAGCAUGCCUUGCUCAACUACAGGGCUUUGUGAGCCCCCUUCCCUUCUUCUCUCUGCCUCCCUCACCCGCUCGCUAAUUCGUCGUGGCCGCGCCGUGCUCGCGGACACUGCCGCCCGCGCCUCGCUGCUCGUAGUGGCCGCCAGCUCCCGCGCCAUGCGCCCCUCUCCUGUGCUCCACUACUUCCUGCCGACCCCCCUUCACUGCCCUGCACCACCACAAUCGCGUCGCGCGCACGCCGCGGCUCGCCGUCGCACCAUCACUUGUGCGCCUCGCGUGCACGCGCUCGCCGCCUGCCCCGCUCUGCCGCUUCUGCAGUCGUCGGCGCCCGCCGCUCCCUCCAGCUGCGGCCGCCCUGCCAACACGCGCCCGGGUCCGGCGACCCGGUGCCCCCAGCCCCGCUCGAGCGUCCCCGCCGUUGCUUCCACGCCCGUAACACCGGGUGCCCGUAAGGCCCCCAAGGCCUAUGACAGGGGGCCCCACCCCAGAACGAAUUAAAAAAAAGAAAGGAAAAAAAUGAAUGUAAAAAAAUAAAAAAUAAAUAAUUAAAUUAAUUAAUUAAGUUAAUCAAUCCUACUUAAUUAAACUAAUUAAACUAAUUAAACCUGAUUAUAUUAACCUAACCAUUAACUAAACAGCCAAUGACAUGUGGGUCCCAACCGUAGUUGACCCAGUCAACUGCACAAUUCAUGCUGACGUCAUCAUUUACUAUUCUGGAUAAUGUUGAUUUAAAAUAAUUAAAACUUUAGAAAAUUAAUAUAAAAUAAACCGUAGCUCGGAUGGAUAAACUUUGUACAUGAAAGUUGCUCAGAACGACGAGACGAAUCCGGAUUCGCAGCCCGUUCGUCCACCAUGCAUCCCUAGAAUAGCGAACACGCAACUUUCCCCCUCCGGUUCAUCUGUCUGAAAAUGCGAAACACCGGGAAUACUUUCCCGGAUGUUUCCCCCUUCACCGGUACCACCUCGUACCGCGUUAGUGGCACACCUAGCAUCACGCCUUGUCAUGUCAUGCAUUUGUUUGCGAUAUAUUUAUUGUUUCUUCCCCCUCUUCUCUCGCUAGACACCGAGACCGACGCCGCUGCUACCCAGUACGACUACGGUGUUGACGACCCCUCUCUCUUGCCAAAGCAACCAGCAAGCCCCCCCUUGAUCACCAUAUAUCGCCAACUGUCCUCUAUACUGCUUGCAUUAGAGUAGUGUAGCAUGUUACUGCUUUCCGUUAAUCCUAUUCUGAUGCAUAGCCUGUCCUUGCUACUAUUGUUGUUACCUUUACCUGCAAUCCUAAUGCUUAGUAUAUGAUGCUAGUUUAUCAUCAGUGGCCAUACAUUCUUGUCCGUCUCCCAUGCUAUAUUAUCGGGCCGUGAUCACUCGGGAGGUGAUCACGGGUAUAUACUAUAUACUUUAUACAUGAUACAUGUGGUGACUAAAGACGGGUCGGCUUGUGGAGCACCCGCGAGUGAUUCACGGAUUGGGGGCUGAAAGGACCUUUGUCCCAACGGCCCUCUGUGUGGAUCUUUGUGGCGAAGCGACAGGGCAGGUUGAGACCACCUAGGAGAGAGGUGGGCCUGGCCCUGGUCGGCGUUCGCGAUUAUUUCAAAAUAACACGCUUAAUGAGAUCUUGGUAUUUGAUCUGAGUCUGACCACUGGCCUAUACGCACUAACCAUCUACGCGGGGACAGUUAUGGGCACUCGACGUCGUGGUAUCAGCCGAAGCCUUCGUGACGUCAGCGACUGAGUGGCGCGCGCCGGAUUGGACCGUAAGCCUGCUCUUGUAUUAAGGGGGCUAGUUCUGCUUCCGGCCGCGUUCGUAAUGUGCAGGUGUGCAAAGGGCGAUGGGCCCAGACCCCUGCGCCAUAGGAUUUAGACCGGCGUGCUGACCUCUCUGUUGUGCCUAGGUAGGGCUGCGACGUGUUGAUCUUCCGAGGCCGGGCAUGACCCAGAAAAGUGUGUCCGGCCAAAUGGGAUCGAGCGUGUUGGGUUAAGUGGUGCACCCCUGCAGGGAAGUUAAUCUAUUCGAAUAGCCGUGAUCUUCGGUAAUAGGACGACUUGGAGUUGUACCUUGACCUUAUGACAACUAGAACUGGAUACUUAAUAAAACACACCCUUCCAAGUGCCAGAUACAACCGGUGGUCGCUCUCUCACAGGGCGACGAGGGGAGGAUCAUCGGUUAGGGUUAUGCUAUGCGAUGCUACUUGGAGGACUUCAGUCUACUCUCUUCUACAUGCUGCAAGACGGAGGCUGCCAGAAGCGUAGUCUUCGACAGGAUUAGCUAUCCCCCUCUUAUUCUGGCAUUCUGCAGUUCAGUCCACCGAUAUGGCCUUUACACAUAUACCCAUGCAUAUGUAGUGUAGCUCCUUGCUUGCGAGUACUUUGGAUGAGUACUCACGGUUGCUUCUCCUUCUUUUCCUUCUAUCCCUUCUACCUGGUUGUCGCAACCAGAUGUUGGAGCCCAGGAUCCAGACGCCACCGUCGAUGAUGACUCCUACUACACCGGAGGUGCCUACUACUACGUGCUGCCCGCUGACGACGACCAGGAGUAGUUAGGAGGAUCCCAGGCAGGAGGCCUGCGCCUCUUCUGAUCUGUAUCCCAGUUUGCGCUAGCCUUCUUAAGGCAAAGUUGUUUAACUUAUGUCUGUACUCAGAUAUUGUUGCUUCCGCUGACUCGUCUAUGAUCGAGCUCUUGUAUUCGAGCCCUCGAGGCCCCUGGCUUGUAAUAUGAUGCUUGUAUGACUUAUUUUAUUUGUAGAGUUGUGUUGUGAUAUCUUCCCGUGAGUCCCUGAUCUUGAUCGUACACGUUUGCGUGUAUGUUUAGUGUACGGUCAAAUCGGGGGCGUCACAUUAGCUGCCAUCAAUUUCUUUGUGUCAUCUUCAUUUGGUGCCCAAAGAUAUUCGGGACCAAACACACGGACGAUCACUUCCGCAAAUCUACGCACAGCCCCAAUCGUGCUAUCUUCACCAAUGCGAAGAUACUCAUCGGCAUAGUCAGCCGGGACGCCAUAUGCAAUCACCUGCAUAGCUGCGGAGAUUUUUGAUAUGCACUAAAUCCCUUUAAGCCCGCGGCAUUCCUUCUCUGAGUGAAAUACCGGCAAUUUGCCUCGCAAGCUUCAACAAUUUUCACAAAAAGGGAUCGGCGCAUUCGGUACCUUCUGCGGAAGAGGUGUGCAGGAUAUGUAGGAUUCUCCGAAAAAUAAUCUUGCAUCAACAUCUUGUUUCCAAGGUGGCGAUUCCGCGGAAUGCACAGACGCCCGACAGUAGAUCCUCGCCUCCUCUUUCGGUACUCGUCUUCAUGCUCCUUCACGGCAAGCGCCAUGACCAAUGUUUGCUGCCGAAAAGUCGCAAGCAUGGUCUCCACAUCCGAGUCGUCCGAAUCGUCCGAAUCGGAUAGCAAGAACUUCUCGCACGGGGUCAACUCCAUCUACACGCACGCCGGCACGUCAAUCUACUACACAGCUCGCGAAAAUCAUAAAAAGGGGACUAACCGGUGGCGAGUGAUCCCGAGCGGCGACGAGGGUGGUGUGGUCAGCGGUGGUCGAUCCCAGCGGCGGCGACGACUAGGGGGCGACUCUUCUCGCUGAAUCCGAAGGGGCGGUGCAGCGGCUCGGCGCGGGAGGGUGUGGGGCGGCCGCGCGGAGCGAUUCCGCCCGCAGAUAUGGCCGGAAUCGCCGGCGGCGGCGGGCGGAAGCAAGGGCAGGCGGCGGCGGAAGGAAGGGGGAAAAGAGCGAGGGCUGAGAUGCCCCUCCCGCCAACUGUUUCUGUGUGAUGCAGGGCACCGCAGCCGCGAGGAGGAAACCCGCAUUUUUUCGGGUUGGAGCCGGAAAUUUGCCGCGCCUCUUAAAAUUUUUUGCGGACCGGGACGGGAUGCGGGGUCUGGUCGGACAGGCUUUCCGGCCCGCACCUGCAUUUUGACGGUUAUUUUACGGGUUAGGGACGGAUGCGGGGUCUACUAGAGUUGCUCUAAGCUCUAGAGAGAAGGCAUGAGAAACUACAAAAAUGAGCACGUUCAGUUCGGCCCAAAUUUUGAGCCCUUGCAGGUACCACACGAUCCACAGGCCCGCGGCAUUUUCCAUUUCAUUCUGAAGAUUGAACUGUGGCAAAAGCACUAAAUUAGUUUUUUUUAAAGCACUAGGUCGAGGUGUUCCACUCUGUUCCCGGGCUGACGCCUGACAGCGAUAAAGCUCACUCCUCCUCUCCGUCGACACUUGUUCGAGCGGCAAGUAAAGCAGCACUCCAUUAGCAUCCCCUUGCUCCGGCCGCCACGAAGCCUGCUUGCGGCGGUGGAUCACCAAACCCGUCGCAGUCUGUCUGUCUGUUUGUCCAUCCAUCCACCUAUCUUUUAGCGGCGUUUGUAUCCUCAGAGAACUGAUGCAGGCUAUACAUUUUACAAAUUAUUCUACAGUCAUCUGAGAAAGGUUCACUUAAAAUUCCUGCCAAAUGCGUCUACCAUUCUUUUCUUUUCCAGGCGUCAGUAAAUAGCUAGCUCAGUUCGAGAGGAAGGCGGAAACAGUUCUGGUUUUAUGAACCUGAUUCCUAUUCAUUUACCGGUAAACGAAGGAAUUCUUACCUAUUUCUCGAGGCAGUUAUACUCAUAUCAUCGACAGUAUGAACAGUAGGUCCAUCCAAUGGCUGCACCACUGCACAGUCCGCACUGCUGCUAGUAUGAGCAGCAAACAUCCUCACUUCCUCAGAGAAGAAGUUAAUGGCAUAUCUCCUCCUACAGAGCAAAGCAUGUUUGCCCACCGAACAACGACCUGGAGAUUGUGCGAGAUAAUCAAUCAUCCAGGGCAAAUCAUUUGGGAAUCAAGAAAAGGGAGCCGCUAGUGGAGCGGCAUUUGCAUCCAAUCAUGAAACCACGAGGAAUGGAAUUCAGUUUUUUCCUUCAAUAUCAACAAUUUAAUAUCCUGUCACAUCAAGCAACAAUAACAUAAGAUCCCUUGAUAGUUUCGACAGAAAGAUUCUGACUGGAAAUAGAUAGACACCUACUGUCUCCGUUUAAACACUUUUAUAUUUCUUUACAGAGAGGGUAUCUACAAAUUUACUGUUUUAAUUUUCCUUGAAGAUUCUUCAGACUUUGCUCGCACUGCCUCCAUCCCUCCAUGAUUGCUUGAUGGCGGAGGAGAAAAGGCAGGCAGUAGCAAGGAAUCUAGAGCUCCGCUGCACGACACAUCGGUGGUUUUUGCCAUUUGAAACCAGCGCCAUCCAAGAACAACGGCUUACAUCAUUCAGUGCAAGUUGGUGCAUAGCCAAAGGUUGGCCGGCGGCGAAAAUUAUGUUUGUUCAGUGGAAUUUUCUUGGUAUUUUGUCAUCAAUAAAGGUUGGAGUUUUGUUGUGUACAGCAUGCAAGCGCUUUAAUUAAUAGCGCUUUGGUUGCUAAGAAGAGAGAAAUGCACUGUACAACAACUUAUUUCUGCUAAUUGAGAUCCUGUUUAUUGCUGUCAUCAUAACGUACCGCAAAGACAGAGAAAAAAAAAUCAAACAAAUGUGUGUAGAACUGUUUUAGUAGGUGCGUGCAUCUCCUGGUCAUCAAAUUAGAGCUAUACAAUUGUGUUAGUUGCUCCAAAUUAAGUCCAAAUAAUGGACCUAAUCACAGCACACAGUAUAAUGGGGAUGUUUUUCUUUCAAUGAAUAGAAUGAGGAUGUCGAUAGGUCGUUAUCCGGGAAAAUACAAAUACUCCUGCCUGAGCACAAGAGACAUAUAUUCGGACGAAGAGACGUGUCGCUAGUUUUAUACUAGACAAUAAAAAUAGUUGCGGCCGGUACUCUACAUUUUCUUUGACAACGACCAAUUUAUGUAUCAAGAGGAUUUUUUUCAAUAAAUCAGACAAAAAAAAAAGUCAAUUAUGCUUGAAGUUGUGAAACUGCUAGUACCGAAAUUCAAGCGGGCGAAUGCCUGGAGGGUAGCCCAUGAUAUUGCUAAGUUCUAUUUUAUAUUUUUGUAAAAACGGAACAUUUAAUCAUUCGUGAAAUUCCGUUUGGUGCUAUUAUUUUUCUUGAUUAAUAUACGGGUCUUCAAACAAAAGCACAGUAUAAUAUAUGUAAGUUUUAACCAUGAUUGAAAUAGUUGAGGUUCACAAAUCUUCUGGUAUUUUUUUGUUGGCAAUAUAUAAAUCUACAAUCUAAAAAAAAUUAAUGUAAACUCGAUCCACACCCAAAGGAAAAGGACAAAUUUCAUUGUGCCUAACAUCACAUUUGAAAGAGCCCUGCUAUGCAUAACCUCCAUUCCGAUUUUUAUACAACACCAUCAUUGGGAAUGUAGGGUAGUUUGUCAUUCCAAAUUUGCACUGAAUACGAUACACCUCCAUUGGUGCGUGGAACGGGAAUACAUCCGACCAUUGGAUUUAGCAUCGUACACAUAUCGGACCACGAUAUCUCGUACGCACGGUAGUUUGACAUUCAAAAUUUGCCCUGAUAGUAAAUGGAGCUGCCAUUCGCAUCAUGUUUGUCCUUUUCAAUUUCUUGAUUGACGAAGUGUGGAUUAAAUCUUGUAGUACCAAUCAGACACAUAGUGACAUAAUGUGACUUCGAUUCAAACCAUUUUAUUGGUGGUAGAAUAUUGGUGUAGACCAAUAUAGCAUAGAGCAUCGAUGUAUCGUAGAGCCAUAGACGCAGUCAAGCCACCAAGACAGAAAUCCGCGUCCGUCCAUCCCGAUCAUCGUUUCCUCCCGACUAAAAAUUUUCCCCUCCGUCACUUACUAUGCAUAAUUGACUUUUUUUUGGUCUGAUUGAUUGAAAAAAUCCUCGAUGCAGUUGGGCUACUGUUUCUGAGCGAUCUUUCAAAAUCCCGUGAAACUCGUACGGUGGCCGGAAAGAAGAGAUUUUUUUGGGUUCGAGCACCAGUUAAAGUAGCGAGGAGGAGGCCACUAGCCCCGGUCUCUGUUUGUCUUCUCCCUCCACCACCACCCUCCCCCUCCCCCCCCUCCCCCUCGCCGAGUCGCCGUCCCCUCGCUUUCACCCCCCCGGACGGAAGCAAGAAUUCCUCGCAAGAAUCCGACCCCGGGCCGAUUUGGGUGGAUUCCGUGCGGCCCUUUCUGCGCCAUGGACUUCUGAUCCGGGGCCUCUCGGAUCUUGGGAGGAGGAAGGUGGGUGGUGGGCGGUGGGCGGUGAGCCGGCCCGGAGAUGGCCGGCGGGAAGGAGCCGAUCGAGGUCAAGUUCCGGCUCUUCGACGGCACGGACAUCGGCCCCAGCAAGUACGACCCCGCCACCACCGUCUCCGCGCUCAAGGACUUCAUCCUCGCCCGGUGGCCGCAAGGUGAGACGCAGAUUCCCUCCGCUCGAUUUGGCCGGCCUCCUGAUCCGCUUGCUUGAGUCGGUGACGGGAAAAGAUGCGCGCGUCUGUAGCUCCUGCUGCCACGAAGUUUCGGCCUUCGGGGAUCAUGUAUAGCUUUUAUUUUUCUAUUUUUAUGGUUGUUGCGUGGUGCUCGCGCAGUUCUAGCCUUGCUCGCGGCAGAUACGUGUUGUUGGUGUGCCUGAUUAGUUGUUCUUCUCUCGAGUAACACAUGACUGCGGCAUCAUUUCCCACCUCCCCUCGGCUUCAACACUGCUUUAGAACUGGGUAAACUAUAUAAACGGCCAGUUGAUAAUUCCCCUUCUCAGUUUAUGUGUAUGCAUACCUAUAGAAAAACUCUCACGGACAGUGAGUACUGUCAAAAUGGUACUAUGAUUUUGCCAAAGUUUGUGGCAGAAUUCCGGGAAGAUCAAUUUUUUGGCAACAAUCGAACGAAGGGACAAUCAGGGGACAAAUAAGUCCCUAUGGAGAUGCAGAGAAGCCGCGGUGUGACUUUAGAGUGCCUGUUUGUUCUCUUGCAUUCUGCGAACAGAAUUGAGCUAGCAAUAUAUAAGCAGUUGUCUCUCCAUCUUUACACGAACCGAGGUCCUUUGCAUGAAUAUGAUAGCAGGGCCAUUCUCCAUAGGAUUCAUUAUGCCUAACGAUCUGUUCAAAGUUAUCCGAUUAUACACUAGGGAGUGAAUGACUAGAACAAGUAAAAUUGAAUCCUUUCCGAGCUGAAUUAGCUCCCAGAAACAAUCGGUUCAUGGUGUGGGUACUUAUUAACCCGAACAUAUGGAAGCUAAUCACAACCAUCAUUGUAUGUCAUCUUUCUGUGGGAUGUUUGAAUUUAUUCUGAUUUUCCCAGGGCUUAAUUUGCAUUCUGACUCGCAAUAGUGCAAUGGCAUGUUUUCUCUUCUUUCUAAGGCACCUUGCUUGAUUUUGAUUUUGACUUCGAAUUUAUGUGGAUUGGUUCUUUUGUAAACUCGCUCCAUAAUCUGAACAUGUUAUGCUUACCGGAAUCCUAGUUUAUUUUAUUUAAAGGAAUUGUUCUUGUCAUUUCUGAUGACAGAUAAGGAAAUAACUCCAAAAACUGUCAAUGACCUGAAGCUCAUCAAUGGUGGAAAGAUAUUGGAGAAUAACCGGACACUUGCCGAGUCGCGUGUUACAAUAGGAGAGGUCCCUGGAGGUGUAAUUACAAUGCAUGUGGUAGUGCGCCCUCCACAAGUUGACAAAAACCGUGGUAUUGCCGACAAUUUUACGCCUUUUCUUUCACAUUGUGUUCCUGGUUCUGUAAUGAUCUCUUACAUUCUGUUACAUUCAAUGAAUGAAAAUUGUUGGAUACAAUCAACUAUCGUUUUAGAUUCUAUGCUUCAGAAAUCCACACGUAUAGGCAUGAAUCUGUAUAAUCCAAAUGCUGCAGCCUGCAAGACGAACCCACUUAUUUCCAUGGAGUGAAAUUUAUUACUUCCAUUUUAUUAUUUCCAUGGAGUGAAAAUUGUUGAUCACACCAUAUUUUUAGUCGGAAAUUCUGUUCGAACUCUGUCCUGAGCCAGUGUUCCGUACUUAGAUAGAAGCACAAAUAAACAGUGACUAAACAGCACAUGGUAUUAUGAAGAUUUAGUGGUACUGAUAGUUUUUUCAGUCCUUUAGUGAUUUAGGGAGUUCUGCCAAAUUGGCUAAAUUUGUUUUUGCAUGUUCGGAAUUUGAAAAGUAUAAUUACAAGAGUGAUGUUGUCACAUCCGUGGGCCAGUCAUGUGAAAAUUAAAGAUUUCGCUAUAAAUCAAAUGUCAGAUUUUUUUAGCAUGACAAAUUGAACGCCCAAGAUGGCAAAUUAUGUUGUCAUGAGGAUGGCAUUUUCCUUUAACAAACAUGACAAAUCCUUGCCAUGUUCAGUAUUUUGCCAGGAAUUGCCAUGCUUGCUAAAGGAAUUUGCCAUCCUCGCGACAACAUAAUUUGCCAUGCUUAAAAAUCUGACGUCAGAUUUGUAGCAUUCCCGACUAUUUAUCUAUGGAAAGGAGAGAGAGAAUAAUGAAUACCAACAAAAAGCAUAUGUUACAAAAUCUGUUUAGAGAUAUAGCUAAGGGGGUUUAAUGGACUUAUAUCCUUCGUUUUGCAACUGUUGAGACAGUAAUGAUGUUGUAAGUACAAAGUGCAUUAGGUAUCUAUCUGGUCACGCAUGGAUUACUAUAUGCAAAAUAGUUGGUUUUACCAUAUCAUUGCAAUUAUGUGAUGCUUAAAACUGCCACACAAUUUAUCAACGCUUCUAAACAACCUAUAAUUUUGCUUUCUUGGAUUUGUUCUUUUCAGAGAAGCAGCUGGGCAAUUCCCCCAAGCAGAACAGAUGCGGAUGCACCAUACUGUGAUACGGCACCCCCCUGGUGAUGUUCGAUGCACCUAGCUGUAGAAUUUCUCUUAUGCUUUUGUUGCGUCCACGGCGCGGUGUGUAUUCAUUUUGACAUCCAGUUCCUGGAGCCAUUGAAACUCGAUCUGGAAACUGGCUGGGAGUAAAGGUUCCUCCUUGGGAUGUUGCUGCUGUAGCAAGUGUGUGCAGGAGUCAAGGAAUGGAUUGGAUGCUUGCUGUUGUGUAAAUUGUAAUGUGGAAACAACCAUCUUUUCAUUUUUCCUUUGGCCAUGUUUGACAUUAUAUCGAUUCUUUUUAGCGCUGCUGUUUGCCAUGUAAAACAGAUAUAUUGUACCAUUGGAAUAUAUAUACGGUUUUGCUAAACAUCUGGUACCUGAAAGAAUCACUUUUUCUAGGGUAGCACGAGGCCGAAGGCGGUG
rnacentral:lncRNA from 1 species